GUUUGAUCGGUUUGGUGAGAUCUGAAAGAAUUUUGCAGAUAAUACUCAAUCAAAGGUAUCCUAAGCUUUGAUUUUAAUUUUUUAUCAUAAAAUCAUUCUUCUUGAUUGCUAUAUGAUCUAUUUUAUGAUAGUUUAUUCAUUUUAUACACUUGAAUUUUUUUUCUUAUUUUUGAGUGUUGUUUCCAUUUUUAUUUUUUGUAGAUUUUAUCUGUUCUAGUACUAUUGUUUUAUUUCGUAAGGCUUUGUUGAUAUUAGAAUGCACUCUUUGUAUCUUCACACUAAGGAUAUACACUUUAAUCCAUAGCAAAGAGAAAAUUUUUUUUCUUAAUAUAUUAAUCGUUGGUUCAAUUACUUUUCUUAAAUACUUAUUUAUGUGAAAUCACUACUUUGAUUGGUGCUAGAAUUUGUAUAUACUUACACUUUUGCAUGUCUAGAUGUUAUAUUUCUUUGUGGAAACCAAUUGAGAGUUUGAGUGGGGAUCAAUUCAGGCAAAAAGGAAAAAAAAUGAAGAAAAAGAUGCACAGAAGAAGUAGUGAUGCACGAUAUAAAAGGAUAGAAUUUUUACCAAAGGCUUGUAUCAUUAUAUUUAGCAAAAAAAAAGGCUUGUAUCAUUACUGAGAAAAAGAGAGAAAAAAAAAGUUAUCAAAUGAGAAUCUUCUUUUACAUCACUUUGUAAUGGGAAGCAAGUUUAUGAAAAGAAAAAAUGAAAAUAAAAGGAUAUAAUUUUCUGCAAGAGGAUUGAAAUCUUUUCCACAUAGGUAGUGAUUUUGAGAGAGUAGGAAAGGCAAAUGGGUUAGGUUAAUUCAAUUAUAUCGUAGCCACUUUACCUCCAAAUUUUCUUUUGUUAUUGUUUCAGUCUUCAUUUUCUCAUCAAACAGAUGAUACAAAAUAUGCAAACUAGUAUGCAUCCCUCCUCCAUCCGGAGGAUGUUCUAGUUUCAAACAUCUUAAUAUUUUUUUUUCCAACUGUUGGACCUGAAUAGUCUCUAGUCAUUUCUUUGAAAUAAUCAUCGGUGCCCCCAAAAAAUAUUUUCAAGAGAGAGAAAAAAAAUCUAAUUUAGAAUUUAUUAUUUCUCAAAAAAAGAAAAUAAAACUGAUUAUAAAAUUUGUAAAUUAGUUUUUUUGGUAUUUUAGAAGUCAAAAGAGGCAAGCUUAAGGGGUAAGGCGUAGACUAUACUUUCAUUUACUUGUAUUUAAUAUACGGGCAUUCAGAAUUUAACUAUUAAGGAAAUAACCGUUUGCAUGAAUGAAAACUUUGUUAUCAUCUUUGUCAAUCUGUACAAAAAUAAGAAAUAAUUUAUGGUCCUUAGGAUAUUUGAAUUUUCCCUGCAUUGUAAUAUAAUGUUUAUAUGCAAAAUUGGAAAAAUUCAGAAGACAAAUUAGUCUGAAUAUUUCUGUUUUAACUUGUAGACAUCAGUUUAUUGUUCAAAGAUGGAUCCACUCAGAGAUUUCUUUUCAGAUUUCAAGUUUUCAAUCAUUGAGUUCCAAUCGAUAAAUCUUCGAAAUUCCAUGGCAGCUUCCUUCUGUAGAUUUGGCAGCAAAAGUUGAAAAGGAAUUGUUCUAACUGAAAAUAGAACAUUUAAGAGCAGAUAUUAUGUCACGAAAGCCUUUUCUAUUGGUUAGUCGUUUUCAGCUUGAGGUCCGUUAACUUGAUCAUAAUCCCUUGCUCCACCUCCAUGUAAACUUGUAGUGGUGAAAUGCCAUACAGCAGUGGCUCUAAUACGCAUGCAAAGUUUGAAGAGCAGAUUGUCUCCUUGCAAUGGUCAUUGGUCAUUAACAAUGCAUAUGUUGUACUUCCCAACUUGCUCUUUCUUCAGAAAAAAUAUUCUGAGCUGGCUUCUCAGGUGCAGAUGCUCAAACCCUUCACUCAUCUUCUCAUAUAAUCAUACUAUUCAUCAGGCCACUCUCCAUCCUUUUGUUUUGAUUAGACAAUCACCACUAUACAUCAAAAAACAGAUACUUUAUGUGGUGUGGUGGUGCAAUGAGGUGCGUCUCGUUGCUUGGUAAGUGCAUCCCAGGCAAAGUUCACACUAGUCUCUGCUCUUGAAAAGAUAGGGAGGGAUGCUACGCAUACAUGCAUGCCAUGAAAGUUCUUAGUACCAUUGAACUAUGGGAUUAAAACUUUUUACGGUCUAAAAUGUAAGGGCCAAAAGGAUAUUCGGACAAUUUAGAAUAAGGUAAAAAUUUGGAGACAAGGACCUUGGAACUCACAGAGGGAUAAGAUAUGGUGAAAACUGGCUGUAAAGAGCGAUUAAACAUUGAUGAAUCAACCUUUAAUUAGUAUUAGCAAACCAAAACCUACGAUUUUGAUCCCUUAAUCUUCAAGAGCUUACUCUAUUCACCUAUUUAUUAAUUAGUGCAAAACAGACAAAAAAAUAGAGCAUCACCCAUAUUUAGAAUAUCUCGUGAUAGUUUUAGAUAAAAAAAUUACCAAAAUCCUUAAUUCAGAGUUUUCCAUAGAAACAAUAUAAAGUUUAUACUUUUGGUUUCAGACCAGGAAAUUGGCAAUUUCUAGUUUCACUUAAGUCACAAAAUUGCAAACGUCUCAUAUGCUAGUUUGCUUUUUUGUUUGUUUUAUUUUUUAUUUUUUGACUGUAUCAUAUGAAUGCUUACUUGACUAACAUUUUUUAGCUUAUGGGAUUUAUUGCUUGUGCUUCUUUUAUUGCGCAAACAAGGUUUCAUCGAUGUUCUAGUAAUAUUUUUCUCGGACGUGAAAAUAGGCAAGGCUUCAAGGCACCUUUUGCCGUCUGCUGCCUCAUUUGAUACAAUUUUGUUAUGUUAAAAUUUUUAGUUUGCUCUGUUCAAUGGUCUGUUUCACCCAUUUAUUUUUAACACUUAAUUGGUGUUUUGAAAGCUACAUUUGAGGCAUCUCCUCCAUGUAAUGCCUGCUUAUCAGCUAUAGAUCCCAAAGAAUGUGCUUAAGCACAGGACUUUGGAACUCCGAGUCUCCUGAUUGAUAAUAUUCCUUUCCUAGUUCCAGAUCCGAAUGACAUACAUUUCUUAGUUUAAAACCAUUUAAAUAAAUCUUUAACAUCAAUCUAAUGUCUGGAUAUGAGUAUUAAAGAUAAAAUAAAUGGCUAGCUAUGUUUUGUUCUUUUUUUCCUAUGUCAAUCAUCUGUACAGGUAAGCAUGUAAACUCCAUGACAUAUUAUUUUCUUUUAGGUGAAAAAUUCUUGGUACAUUCACUAUCCAAAAGCUUCUUUCCUAGUUUUCCCCUUUGAGGAUUUGUCUUGUUUUCCUCAACUUACCUCAGUCAUUGCUCUGUACAUAUAUGAUGAUGAAUGACUUUCACAGCCACCACGUAAUGUGAGUGCUAUGAUCAUUCACAACAUGAUGAAACAUAGCUCGCUUUAUGCUAAUUUCAUUCCCAUAACUUGCGUGUGAUCAACUAAGCGUGCCUGGCCUGUUCCUGGCCUCCCUGAUAACAGAUGCUGAAAAAUUAUUCUCCACUCACCAACCGGAUCUCACGAUUCGAAGCCAACUCAAGUGUUUGCAGUGCUUAAAAGGAAUCAGUCUUCAUGUUUUUGACCUUGAAUCCAUUCUGUAAAAUUAAUGUGUGUUCUAUUCUAUUAGUUUGUUUCAUUUUUAUUCUCAAAAAGAAAAAAAAAAAGAGUUUCCUGCUUGCCUUUUGACUGACUUGGAGGGACAUCAACAGCCCCCCUAUAGACAUCGCUUUGAAAUCAUGGCCAGAGAUGGAUGCAUAAGGAGGGACUGCCCUCGAGACAGAUUGACGGAGCUCCCAGACUCGCUUCGGCUGCAGAUCCUUGGCCUGCUGCCCCGGAAGGAUGCAAUCAAGACCGGCGUGCUGUCGACCCAAUGGAAGGGUCUAUGGAAGCAGCGAUUUGCGUACUCCACAGAGCUUUUACAUGAUAGGGUCUACAAGGAUGCAGAAGAUCAGCAAGAGUUCAUUAUUGAGAUAGAAAAAGCUAUGCAGCAGUACCAGAACAGAAGGAUUGAAGUAUUCAGACUCAACUUCUAUCCGGACAAGUCCUAUGAAAAUACCAUGAAGGAGUGGAUAGCACAGGCCCUUUCACGUGGUGCAGAAGAACUCCACCUUGACUUCUCUCAAGGAUUGACAUCAGGUAAUCCUGAUGGAAGACUCAAGCCCAGAAGGAAGAAGCCGUUGCUCAAUGACACAUUGUUCAGGGGCAACUCGCUCAUUGUAUUGAGCCUGAAGUACUGCAGAAUAUACAAAUGGUUUAAAUUUACGCACUUGGGUUCUCUCGAGGCGCUGCACCUUCAUGGGCUCAACAUCACCGACUUUUCAUUAGCGAACUUGAUCACCAAUUGCCCGUUGCUGAAAAAGUUGGAGCUAUGCGAGUGCCUGACGCUGCAAUGGAUCAGAGUUUCAGGCCCAAACCUGCGACUUAAGAACCUCCAUGUAGUUCACUGUGGGCAAGUCAAUGCCAUAGAGAUAUCAGCUCCAAAUCUUCAGAUGUUCCAUCUAGUUGGCAGAUUUCCAAGAAUAUUACUUUUAUUUGAUGUCUCCUCCUUGAACAACGUUUACAUCAGCUCCUACCACCAUGACUAUUGGGAUCACCGGUACCGGCAGACUUGGGCAAGGAUGUUCAGGGAUUUUGAACAUGUUGAGGCUCUAACUCUGCGUAGCAGAGGGAUUCAGGUAUGAUCCUACCCACAUUCUUUAAUUUCCAUGAAGAAUCUGAUGGUAAUUAGUCUGACUGCAUGCAGUACUUUUUUUUUGGAUAUCAUCUUACCAUAUAUAAUAUACCUCGACAUCUUGUUCCUGCCAUGCUUCCUUCAGUAUGUAUUUGGUCCUUCAAGGCCUGCAGUUGCUUCCCGACUACAUAACCAAGAGCUAUGCAGGCAGAUUGCUGGAGAUAUAUUGUCAGAAGUUUACAAAAUUUUGACGCGGUGGGGUUUCCCUCGCCUGGAGCAUUUAUUUAUCGAGGUAGGUCUGCGUACAGCUAGGGACCAACUUUUUAUUUUCUCCUGCAUGCAUGUACUUCAUUUAUCGAACUAAAUCUCUAUCUUGAUAUGAUGGACUUGCAGUUCCCAGACGCUUUGGAGGAUCCAGCUAUGAAGUACGUUUUAGAGAGAACGCAGCAGUGGCCUCCUGAGCUCGAUUUCAAGCAGCUGAGGACGCUGUACAUGUUCAACUUUGAAGCGCGCGCACAUCAUGUGAGGCUUUUAGAACAUUUCUUAUGCCGAGCAGCUGCCCUUGAGCGUGUCUUCUUGUUGGUUCCCCCACAUUUUGACAUCAAUCUCAACAACAACAGCUGCAUGGAUAUUCUUCGUUACGGGCUUUUAGACAGACCGAAGGCAUCACCAAAUUGUCAGAUAUUCUUCCUCCAUCCUGCACAGAACGGUCAUGCUCCUUGCCCAAGAGAGACUGCUUAGGAGUUUUCCUCUUCUUUGCCUCUUUUUAAAAGAGAGAGGGAGAACUAUUUAUACUGUUAAGGAUGUAUGAAUGACGAGUUAAACUAUGUAGUGUUCUCUAAAGUGUAAACUCUCCUGCUUGUAUUCUGUAGAGGAGAUCAUGAGGAAGUGGUUUUUAAGUUUCUGCAUCUGAAUAGUGUUCGGUAAGAUUGCAGCCUUGCAGGAUAUGUGAAGAAAAAAACUGACUGAAUUAUUAUCCCAUAGUCCAAUGGUGUCUCUCUCUGGCUUGAAGACUAUCACUUGAUACAUCUUUCCUGCUUUAUUCGAUGGCUUUUGUUCAUGUUAAAGCCACGGUAUUGUCUGUUUCCAGUAGAAUGAGUACCAACCAGACCUUUUUGACUCCAUGCUGUAAUGGAGAAUAUGGUUUUAUGCUCUCUGCAGCUUCCGUUGCUACAAAAUCUUAUUAGUUUAUUUGUCCUCUAUCAUGAGCGAAAUCAGCACUUAUUUAUAGUUACAAAGGUUAUCUAGUCUCGAAAUUUUUUUAAAAGGAUAAGAAAUCAAGGAUAACUUUCACGCUAGUCUGUUUGAAAGUUUGGUAACAGUUGAGUUGGUUCACUACCAAACAAUAGUUUGGUAGUCGUCCGGCACUUCGAAGAUUUUUUAUGGACAUCUAUAGAAGAUAUUUCCUCUCUUUUGUACGUUUUGUUUUUUCGUAAUUUGGCAGGAUAUACUCAAGUUAGAGCUAUAUAAAUUGCUGUAUUUACCAAAAAAAAAAAAAUCAAUUGGUCACUUGAAAAAACUGCAUGACAGGCGGAAAUACUCACCACUAUACUACAACAACUCUGAGUGCUUCAAAGAAAAACCUGAAAACCUAUAAAAGAACACUCAAAGGGCAUUCCCGAUCAGAGAGAUAAAAAGAUGUUGCUUUUUCCCCAAAACGCACGGCUUAUAACAAGACGCACCAGCUUUAACCUGAACUUCCAAAAGGACCAGUAGAAUCAUCCUGCAUCAACCAUUUGUCACUAGAUUCACGAUAGGGAAAGAGUAAUUUAACUAGAUAAACAAUUAAAACUUAGAAAAGAUAAAAAGCAUGAGAUAUUUUAAAAUAAAAAAGAAUAAAUUUAAUAUAUCAAUAUAUUUAUACCUUUAUUUUUUGAUAGAAAGUGUCCAUAGGUAAUGGGCUACGCAACAUAGAGUAGCCUUUCUCCAAAUACCUCCAACUUCCUAAACCAUAGUGAGGGUAGAAUUUAUUCUAGAUCAUCUGGUGCAGCUGCCAAAAACAUUACUAACUUGGUAAGCUGAUAUCUUCAAGUGCUUAUGUUUUCGUUCAUCUCAAGUAUGCAAGCAAUAAUAAUAAUAAUAUUUUUUAUAUUAGGGCCAUCACCUAUGGACAACAUUAUUAAUAUGUAACCCAUGAAAAUUUUUAAUUCUUCAUGGCUUCAUUAAAUCCAACGACUAUUCUUCAUUAUUAUUUAACAAAUAGCAUUUUGCACGUACACUGCAAAGAAAAUAAGUAGCAAAUAUUACCCAGUUCGAGACACUAUGAAAGAUGCUUAUCUUAGAGCACAAUUCAUUUUGCUCGUGUACAUAGUUGACAACAAUCUAUUCUUAGGAUACGAUGAAGUGCCGCAUGUUCUUCUUGAAGUAUGCUCUAAUAAAAGAGAAUUAAAAUUGAAAUCAAACCAAACAAAUCCAAAUGCAUCAGCAACAUAGAUUGAUAAAAUCAUUCUGAUUUUUUUUAAUCAAGACUUAGUUCCUUCUUCUCAAAUGCUCAAAAGAUGUACUUGAGUUCAUCCGCUUUAGUACUCAAUUUACUCUUUCAAUUCUCAUCUCUUUACUCACUUAUAUUGUUCAAAUAGAUGGAAACGACGAUCCCUUUCAUUUUUUAUAGAUAUAAAGGGAUGAGUAUGAAUCGGUGUUUUAGUCUCUUUCUUUGAAUUGGAUACAUUCUUUUACUACGUUAGCUAUUCAAUUAUCAAAGGUUGUGAUCUUUAGAAUCAUCAUCAAAUCUAAUGCAUUAAGAGGCAUCUCUUUAUAAAAAAUAAUUACUUAUGAGAAUCUCAUGAGGCAUUAAAAUGUUAAACUAUUUAAUUAAUAAACCAACAGAAAACUGGCAAGGCUUUAAUGAAAGGAAGAAAGGCUUUCAAUCUUUAAAGCAAUCAUCUUUAUACGAAUUAAAUGGAAAGGAGAGAAAAAACUUGACCCUCUCCAAAAUUCAGAAAAUCAUAGAAAAUUGAUUUUUCCUAAUUAUUUUUGAAAGUUAUGUAAAAAAAAAAAUGCCAAUAUUUUUAUCCAGUCAAAAAAAGAAAGAUCAAUUAUGUGGUCCCUUGGGUCUCUUCUUUCAGGCCUAUCAGCCUUUCAAUCGUAUUAUUUUGGGGUUCAAGAUGGUAUUAGGGUUGAAAAUCAAUUUUGCCGAAAGCUUCAUUGUGUAAAUUAAUGUCACCUUUCUAAUGCUUUCUCUUGCUGAUUUAAAGAACUGUUACCUGGGGUUUUUUCUGUACUUGAGAUUCAGUACUUUGAGGUCCUCUGGUUUUGGGCUUGUAUCCUUGACGAUAUCAAUGCAACUUAUAGUAUCUGUCCUUUGUAUGCCCCAUCAUACCGCGGUGACUGCACAUGGGGCAAUCCUUUUUUUGAAAAUGGCCAACUCCUGAUUUAGUAGCAGAUCUCCUCAAGAAUGCUAUAUUAUUCACAUUCGGAUUAGCAUCAGAAGUGACCUCCCUUUGUUUCUCUUCUUGUAAUACUAAUGAAAAAACUUUAUUUAUUGGGGGAAGAGGAUCGAUCAAGAGGAUCUGACCUCGUAUGUGUGAGUAAGUGUCACUUAACCCUAUCAAAAAUUGCAUGGUACACUCUUGAUUUUGAUAUUCUAUUAACUGUUUCAUUGCGCCACAAGAGUAGAUAGGAUUUGGCCUAUAAUUCCAUAAUUCCUCCCAUAGACCCUUGAGUUUAGUGAACUAGGAACUACCACUGGAUUGAUUCUGUGACAAAGAAGCAAUGGACUUUUGAAUUUGAAAUAUUCUAGGCCCGUUACCUUGUGAAAAUCUUUCUCGUAGAUCAUUCCAAACAUCUCUAGCUGAGUUGAUAUAAAGAACACUCUUAGUUAGCUCUUUUGACAAUGAAUUAAGAAUCCAAGAAGUCACCAUAUCAUUACAUCUAAUCCAUACUGAAAGCAAUGGGUCGGAUGGUUCUGGUUUGGGAAGUGAUCCAUCAACAAAAGCUAUCUUGUUCUUUGCACUUGGUGCCAUUUCCAUUGAUCUACACCAACUUGGAUAGUUUUCCCCACUAAGUAUUUGUGAAACUAGGGUAGUACCUGGAUUGUCUCCAUGAUGCAGGAAAUAUGGGCUUGAUUGAUCAUCGGUAGAAGAAGAAAGGGAAGAAGAAUGCUGUGAAUGAGACACUGCAUUGGCCAUGGAGACUUGCUUUGAUACCAUGACAAAAGACUGAAACUUUGAACAGAGAGGGGAGAAGAAUAGAUGGAGGAGGACUAACUUUAUUUCAUUACAUCAUGAAUACAUCUAUUUAUAAGUAAGUCUGAAACUAACUUAACUAGUACAACUGGAUUCAACUGAAUUCAGUAAUCAGUUCAACUGAUUAACUGAAUUUAGUUAGUAGUUAAGCUUCCUUCUUAGCUCCAUCUCUUCACACCAAUCCUCAUUAGCAUGUGAGUCAGCGUAUCGAUGGCGUAUCAGUCAGCAUAUCAGUGAAAUUAGUAAAGCUUUGGUGGAGUUUUAUCUCAGUCCAGGUUGAGUUCAGCAGCUGUAUCAGAGGCGUAUCAGCAGCUGUGUUUCAAGAGUUCACGUAUCUGGGGCCGCCAUUGAUUGUUAGGAGCCUGCGGAGACAAGACUUGAUACCAUCGUUGGGGAUGACGGGGAAGAGGUUUAAUUCUUGCAAAAGGGAUAUGUUUAUCCCUUGAUUGAUGACUGUUUAACUGUGAUCAAUACAUUGGUAAUAGCUUUGCCGUCUUACUACAUGGCAGCCUUCAAGCUCCUACAUAUUGGGGGUUAGUGACACGAUGGAUAGACGCAGUAAGGCUUUUCUUUGGAAGGGCAAGGAUUCAGUAAGUCGUUUCUUCCACUGCCUCGUCAACUGGAACAAUGUCUACGAGGAAAAAUUGGAGAGGGGACUAGGGGCUUGAAAAAGCGUCCAGAACUUAUUCUGGUGAGACGCUGGCUGGAACAAGGUUAUUGGAGCUUCCUGCUAUACAAACUAGGUCCUUACAUGCGUAAGAACCUGAUGCGUUUCUCCACAACUUGGAGGGAUGUGUGCAAGCCACCAAGUGCUUCCUGGAAUUGCUGCAGUUUCCAGCCAGGUAAGGAAGAAAGGAAGGAGCCCAGGGCGAGCGAUGUUCCCUGUGCAUAUAUGGAUCCUCUCUUAUAUGCUUGAUCUCUUGAACCUAAUCUUCCAGUAGCAGCCCAUUGGAACAGAAGAGAAUCAGAUUGGCAUCUUGAGCUGAUGAGGCUGCCCUCUACUGAUUACCCUCAUCGGAAAAUCUCUAAAGAUAACUACUACUCCCAAGACACUUCUUCCAAGCCAAUGCGGCACAGAGAAGGCACAACUCACACACGACGCUUGCGCUCAUUGGAGACCCAUCUUACCACAUAAUCAAAGAAUGAAGAGUAAGAGGCACUGAAAAGGUUAUAUAUUAUUUUGUAAGGAGAAUUAUACUGAAACUAAGUUCACCGGUAUCAGAGCACAUUAUUUUCUGAUUUUUUUUUCUUCCAGACGAAAUAUUAGAACAGAGCAACAAUUUCACCUGAUCUCUGGGUUGGCAAAUUUAUCAACAGAAUAACUACACCAACUGGUUGUAUAUCUUAUUACCAUAUCCUAUUCGUUACCUCCUUCCCAUCACUUCCUUCCGACACCUCACCCCAGAUCCUCCUGAUCCUCUUUUCUCAUCAUCAUUUCCAUCGGAGUCCCCCCCUAUCCAAGCCACCGCAUCCGAAAAGAUCCAUGCUACCUUCAUCUUCUGCCCUCUUUUUACAAAAAUUCACUCAUAUUAAUUGAAAGGCAACAACACUGCACCAUAUUUUCAUAGGCAAUGAAAAUUUAAAAAACACAAAAAACAAAAAACCAAACUUGGUCCCCCAGCAAACCAAGGAUCCUCUCUUUCUUCAUCAUCUACUUGGUUAAAGAUACUGACCCUGCAUCACUUCUUUGUUUCAGCCUUUUUAUUUUUUUUUUAAAUACAAGAAUACAAACCAAGAAUUAAAUAAAGAAUUAAAUACUGAUAAUGCUAAAUCCUCCCAGAAAGAUGAAAAACCUAUCUGAAAGGAUAAAGCAGAUGCCAAGAGUAAGUGCAUAGAAAAAAAUGAUAUUCAGCAACCAGUUUUUUUACACCAUGCAGUCUCAUCUUGUUUGAAACAAAAAAACAGAGCUAAGAACAUCUAUUUUGACAAAAAAUUCUCUUAUAACUAACUGACCCUUAAACUGGAGGAGCAAGAUUGGAAAGGACUGCAGAUUUACAUAAGUCAGAUAUAUACAUUUAUAAGGACUAAAAUAUCAUAAAUAGGAACGUGCACUUAAGGCUGAAAGUUUUGCAUCUUGUAUUAGAGUCAGCGGACCUGAAGUUACACAAGAUAAACCAAAACAUAGAUCAUCUUAUAAAUAAAAUAAAAAUCAGGUAGAACUCUUGUCAGUAGGGGCAGAAGCAACAACUAUACAUUGUAUAAACAAAAAUGACAAUCAGAUAACCUAUCUGAAAGUAGGGGCAGAAGCGAGAUGCAUUAAAGUUGAACGAUCAGGUAAAUGCCAUCACAAUCAAUACCAUAUGCAACAUGAGUAGAAUGUUUAAUCACCACCUAAACAGGUCCCCAAGUAACUUGGUGCUUUUCUAAGAGGAGAGAGAAAAGUUGAACAAUUGACACCGUAUAAUGUUCCACAUCUCUUUCUCAUGCUUUCUUCAAAAUUCCUUCCUCACACCCUUCUGUGCAAUGAAACCACUCUCAGAGCAUCCAUAUUUUCACAACAAAUCACAUGCACCUGCCUUUUUACUGUAAUAUUUUUAAAGUAUGAGUAGGAUUCGUUGCCAAGAGUGCCACCCUUGAGCUAGAUUAUUAAGGCCCUGCCCCAACUUGCAUGAAAGAUAUAUGAUGGAGAGGGUAGAUUUAAAUCGCAACCUAUAGUGCAUUAAGGGAAUGCUGACAUAUAUUUAAAUCACAGGCAGUAUAUAUGAUUCAAAUAAAUUGCAUCACAAUGAUAGUCUAUUGUGAAUACCAGAACCAAAAGAGUAAUGGCAGCACUAUGUACCUUUGCACAAGUCAUAGCAAGUGGGAGAUGCAGUAAUGUGCUCUACCUUAAAAUUUCUGCACUUCAUUAACAAUAGACAUCCACUCGCAGGAACCAAGUACUGACCUGAAAACUUCUAGCAGUGUGCACAAGUUAGACACUGUCAAAGAAGGCUCAGCUCUUUAUAAACACCCAUUCCGUAGUAAGAAGUAGAGUAAGAGUAAAAUAUUCAGAAUUUGAUCUAAAAGAAAACCAGAAAAAGAUGAAGGAAAAGUCACUUCCUGAGUGAAACUUAUAAGACCAAAGGACUACCAUCUUGUUCCUCCCAUUGAAUUCGCCUUUCAAAAUUUACAUGGAACAAAAGAUAUAGAAUGCUAGCACCAACAUUAAAUCUUCAUGCAACUUGCACAUGCAUUUUUUCCCCUUAGGAUGAAGGAGGGGGAAGGAGGGAAAGGCCGAUGCCUUAGGAUCUGGUGGUGGAGAUUGAGAGCAAGAAAGAGGACUCGCCUGGCUGGGAUGUUGUCAUUUUCAUCAUCAGAUGUGGAUGGUAUGCCAUCGGAUGGCAUCAUCAGAGGACCAAGGCUAAGGGGUGAGAUGGGAGAGCAGAGACAAGAGAGGAAAGGAGAGAUAGGAGAGGUGAGGACUUUGCGAGGGCUUCCAGCCAUCUGACGACUAAUUGACGGUAAGGGGGGGGGGGGAGAGCUUACCUAUUUGGGAUGUCGUCAUUGUUGGAUGUGGAUAGGACACUGUUGGGGAGUUGUCGGAGGAUAGAGGCUGGAGAAGGCAGGAGAGGGAGAGAGAGGGGAGGUGAGGACUUCAAGAGCAUUGGGAGAGCUGGAGAGGGUUUUAGGAGAGGGAUUAAAGCAUCUAGAUUCAACUGGCCGAACCAUGCCGGUAUUUGGUGAACCUUGCUUGAAACACUAGGUUCAACUUUCAAUCCUUAAAAAAUAAAAAUAGAGCCUGAGGUUGAUAUGUGUGUGCCAGUAUCUAUAUAAAACUAUAGCAUAACAAUAACAAUCAAAGACAUAUAUCAGGAUGUCGGAAUAUGUUGCCACUAUAUUACUAUUCUGAGGAAAGUUCUCUGAUUCUGUUAAACUGCAGGAUGUCAGACAUUUACAGAAAUGAAUUUCAUAUCCUCUAAUGUUUCUAGAAACACUUGCAGAGGAAAUUCAUUAUAGAUCCCUUGGCAGAACACAUCAAAGAAUCUUUGUCCAAGUGAUGUAUGGAGUUACAAGCAAUGGCUUUGCAAUAACUUCCUAUACUGGUUAAAGCUAACCAUUCUCUGUUUAAAGGUUUACAAGGAAAACUUACAAAAACUGAAACAUUUGCUUAAAGUAAAUUUGCCAAGUAGUAGUUUGGACUAAUCUGAAAUUUCGCUCGCAUAACUUGAAAAUGCAUGGAUGACCAGGUGCCUGCCUAGACAAGCAGGCAUCUUCAUACUUCUUCUGACAUUGUGAUCAUUAUUUGAUAACUAACCACACCAAUAAUCUUCAGAAAUUGAAUAUGCACUAAUUUUAAAGGGAUACAUAAAAGUUAAAAUAAAAUACAGGCUGUGAGCAAAAUGUCACUUCAUACUUCACCAAGAUGUAUGAUAGUCUUGAACAUUUUAACAAAGGGAGAGUGUGCUUCUUUAUUAAAAUGAUAGAAGGUAAUUUAUUAUCACCAGAAAGCUAAUAAGUCCCAAUCCAAAUAAGUCCAUUUUAUGCUUCAAAUAGUCCUAUAAUAAUGUACAAAACAAGGGAAGAAGCUUUGCCAAAUUUAUGCUCGUUAUGACGACUUCAGAAUCAGAAAAAGAAAUUAUUUCAAUUUACAAAAGCAUAUAGAUUCCAAAAUACUCACACGCAACUAAGUACAUUUCAAUUUACUGACUGGAAUGUGAUUAAGCUGUAAAUAUGGACCAAUGCAUUGCACGGAAAAAGAUAUUCUGGCAAAAAUUACUUAAAGAUGUUCAUUAACUACAAAUAACUUAGUUAACAGCCUCUACAAAAACAUCAGUUCAUGACCGCUUAACCUGGGAGAUAUUGCUCUGCAGCUGCAACCCUUGGUUCGAUGGCUUCACAAUUUGCCAUUACAUGAGUAUUAGGAAUGUGCCAUCAGUCUGGAAGAAAAAGUAAAUAAGAGGUCAAAGGACAAAAACUAUUACAAAUUACUAAAAAAUAGUUACUUAACAAAAGUAAUGUGUUUGUGCAGUUUUGGGGAAAACAUAAGCAUGAACAUUAAGCAACCGCUUCCUAAGAAAAAUCAUACACAAUCAUUUACUUCUAAUGAAUAUAAUAAUUUGCCACCUUUAAAGCAAAUUGAUGUUCUAUGAUAGCAAAAAUAUGAGGGACACAGAGUGAUGAGGGGAAAUAAACAAAAAGAAAUCUAAGUGAAAGAUAAGAAUGUUAUUGUUCAAUGGUGCAAAAAAUAAAAGAUACACUUUACUCUUCUCCAGGAUGACGGUUGAAUUGUACCAGAAAUAUACUUUCAAAAUUGUUCACCAAAGAGGUUCCCCCCCAUUUUUGCAAAGGUGACGACAAUAAUGAUAGAAGGUUCCAUUUUCAAAAGCUAGCCAUUCGGGAACUAAAUCUAAAUAGAGAAGAUGGAGAAUAAAAGAUUCCACAAACUCAAAUAGUUAUUGACUUAAAUAUAUAUUUAACAUUCGGCAGCCCAGAGUGUAAGAAAAUAACUAGGAACUAUUCAAAAAAUACAACAUUGAUUCCAGAUAUAAAUAUUGUUCGCACUACCUAUGGAUUUAAAGAAAAGUGUAAUGUGAAUACUGUUCCUAUACAAAAAAGAAUAUAAGUGAAGAAGAACAGAACUGAUAAUGUGAUUUUGGGAGACAGUGAGUGAAGAAGAAUAAAACUUCAAGAAAUAUUAUCCACAAUAUUAUCACAAAUGCAGUAGUGAUAUUGCAACUGAGUUCACUAGCAUCAAAACAUAUUAUUUUCAGAUCUUUAUGAUAAAAUAUUAGAACAGAAUACAUUUUCACCUGAACUCAACAGAGUCCCCUGGGUUGGAGAAUUUGUUUACAGAUAAUGCCAAAAUAAGCAGUAUAUUAAUAGGUCCCAGUCAAAGCUGAAUUACAAUUGUGAAAGUAAUAGUAUUCUCUUCGGGUGAGAAUGUACCGCAAGUAGUUGGAUAGAAAUUUUGCUUGCCUUUGUUCAUGCAUUCGGCAUAAUUUAAAUAGACAAUGGAUAACAACCUCUCCUACACUUACGACCAUAGUUUCCUAGAAUAAAGACUCUGACUGCAAAAUAAUAGCUAACAAACAACAAAAUAAUAGCUAACAAACACUCGACUUAUUUUAUGCAUGUGAACGUUAUCCAACAGAUUGGAUCAAUUCUUCCAUUAAAACUGCUACAGUCUUGGAUGACCAAGUCUUCCAACAGAACUGCAGCUAGCUUGGACCAAGUCUUCUUCAAUAGUCCCCAUGCAUGCCAUGUACGACGUUCCCUCACUCCCUAUUAUACUUGUGAUUCUUUAUGGGUGUGCGUUGGGUCCGCCUUGGCCUAUCAAUACCCCCCUCUUUCAAUGGAUCCUUGUCCUCAAGAUCCAUAGAUGGAAACUGGUCCCUCAGCUCCUUAAUGUUUUCCUAGGUAGCAUCCUCUGCAGGGAGUCUUUGCCAUUUAACCAAGCUCUCCUCAAUAAACUUCGAGCCUUUCUUCACCCAGCGAAUAUCCAGCAAAGCUUCCGGCGCCAGCACGAUUUCUCCUUCAUUAGUAACCGGUGGCAAGUCAAUACUGGUUGCACUAGCUUCGCCCAACUUCCUUUUAAGUAAGGACACGUGAAAAAUAGGAUGAACACGAGACCCCUCUGGAAGUUUGAGCUUAUAAGCUACCUUACCCACUCGCUUUUCAAUCGGAUAUAGCCCAAAAAAUCCGCUAGCUAGUUUUUGAUAUGCCCGUUUAAAAACUGUUUGCUGCCGAUAAGGAUGCAACUUGAGGAAAAUCAAAUCCCCGUCUUGGAACUCCACGUCGCGCCUCUUGGAAUCAGCUAUUUGUUUCAUGCGGUUAUUGGCUGCAUGCAAAUUUUCCUUCAAUUGUCGCAGCAAUACAUCACGGGAGGAAAGGCUUUGGUCCACUUCGUGGACUGGAGAUUGGCCCACUUGGUAGUGCGGAAUGGUUGGGGGCAGCCGACCAUACAGAGCUUGGAAGGGGGUCAUUCCUGUGGAUGAGUGAUAGGCUGUAUUAUACCAGAAUUCAGCCCAUGGAAGAAGAGAAUUCCAUUUUCGUGGCUGUUGAUGGACCAAGCAGCAAAGGUAUUGUUCCAAGCACCUAUUUACGACUUCUGACUGUUCGUCCGUCUGCGGGUGGUGGGCGGAACUCAUUUUCAGCUGUGUUCCUGAUAACUUGAAGAAUUCGCGCCAAAAAUUGCUAAUGAAAAUGGGGUCGCGAUCACUUAUGAUAGAUCUGGGCAUACUGUGGAGUUUAACCACUCCCUCCACAAAUUUUUUAGCCACAGUCUUUGCAGUAAACGGAUGAGUCAAAGCCAAAAAAUGUGUAGACUUACUGAGGCGAUCCACCGCCACUAAGAUAGUAUCCUUGCCGUUGGAUGGGGGAAGACCUUCAAUAAAAUCCAUAGUGAUGUCAUCCCAUACUUGGCAUGGAAUGGGUAAUGGUUGAAGGAGACAUGCUGGUGGCAACGUUUCUGCCUUAGCUCGCUGACAAACAUCACAAGAGGAGACAUAGUUGUGCACCGUGUGAUACAUCGACGGCCAAUAGAAUUGUUGGGCAAGUCUUUUGAAUGUCCGCAGCACACUUGAGUGACCACCACAUUGUGAAUCAUGAAAUUCCCUUAAAAGUUGGUUGAUUAUGGGCGAGUUGGGAGGCACUACCACCCGGUUUUUAAAUAAAAUCAACCCAUCACGCCACAUGUAAGAAGCCCCUGAUUUCUCAGUGGCUAACUUGCCAAUUUUCUCCAUGUACACGUCUCCCACAGUCGUGGCCUUAAUAUCAUCCCAUAAUUGGGCCUGCAAAAAAGACAAUGCAUUAAUAAUUGGGCCGCCCACCACUUGUGAGAGUGCAUCUGCUGCGCCAUUUUCUCGGCCUGGCUUAUAAAGUAUUUCAUAAUCAUAACCCAGCAGCUUUGCCACCCAUUUCUGUUGCUCUGGUGUGACCAUGCGUUGCUCCAACAAAUACUUGAGGCUUCGUUGGUCCGUCUGAAUAUAGAACCUCCGACCCAGCAGAUAUGGUCGUCAAGUUCGUAUGGCUUCAAUGAUGGCUAGCAUCUCCUUGGCGUAUGUGGACCACGACAGUUUUGAAACUCCCAGUGAGGAUGANNNNNNNNNNNNNNNNNNNNGUGCUUACGUUUAUUCUUGCAUCAUCUUCUAUCUUUGCACUAGUUUAAAUCAUUCAAAUAGUUUAAGUAAGCAUCCACCGCACUUAAUUAAGAAAACGUUUAAAGCACCAAAAUUUAGAAGAAACCAAUUCACCCCCCCCUCUUGGCUUGUCACCUUGGGCAACACCCAGGGCCCGGCUCAUGAAGGCAAUUGGUUUGCCUUGUUGAGUUAGAACCGCGCCAAUUCCCUCUCCUGAAGCAUCAGAUUCAAUAACAAAUGGCUCAUUAAAGUUAGGCAUAGCAAGAGUAGGAGUAGAGGUCAUAGCCUGUUUGAGGAAAGUGAAUGCUGUCUCAGCUUCAUCUGUCCACCCGAACUGCCCCUUCACCAGAUUAGUGAGUGGUCGCGCCAAUAUCCCAUAAUUACGAACAAAUUUCCAGUAGUAGCCUGUAAGACCUAAGAAACCACGCAAUUUUGAAAUAUUAGUAGGUCUAAGCCAAUCUAGCAUUGCCUUAAUUUUGCCUUGGUCUACUUUUACCCCUUGAGGAGUAACAAUGUGACCUAAUAUUCCAACUCCUGUUGACCGAAGGCACAUUUGCUGAUCUUAAUAAAAAAUUGGUGAUGCCUUAAUAUUUCAAAAGCUUGUUGAACAUGUUCAAGAUGCAUAGUCCAAUUGGGGCUAUAAAUUAAAAUGUCAUCAAAAAAGACCAAUACAAAUUUACGCAGAUAAGGGCGAAAUAUGGAAUUCAUAAUGGCCUGAAAAGUAGAGGGUGCAUUGCAAAGACCAAAAAGUAGAGGGUGCAUUGCAAAGACCAAAGGGCAUAACUAAAUACUCAUAAUGACCAUUGUGGGUAUGAAAAACAGUUUUAUGGAUAUCAUUUGGGUGUAUUCGUACCUGAUGGUAGCCGGCCCUUAAAUCUAAUUUUGUAAAAUAGGAUGUGCCAUGAAGUUCAUCUAGCAUGUCAUCGACCGUUGGGAUAGGAAAUCAAUCUUUGAUAGUAAUGAAAUUAAGGGCCCGAUAAUCAGUGCAAAAGCGCCAUGUACCAUCCUUCUUUUUAACCAACGGGACAGGUGAUGAAAAGGGAUUGGUACUUGAUCUUAUAAGCCCCAAUUUUAACAUGUCUUGAACUUGUUUUUCAAUCUCAGCUUUUUGAAAAUAGGCAUACCUGUAGGGUCGCACAUUGAUUGGUUCUAUGCCUUCUUUAAGAGGAAUGCAGUAGUCAACCUCCCUCUUUAGUGGUAACUGCGUUGGUUCUUGAAAAAUGUCAGCAUAAGCCUCCAAUACUAGCUGCAUAUCCGGUUGAACGUCCUGUCGUGGUACUUCUUCGAGUGACUGCAGACAAAUUGCAAACAUGGAACUCAUCUCAAUUCUUUAGAGACCACCUUCAGAGAUGCAGCUUGAAUGGGCUGCGCAUCAGUUCCUUGUAAUCUUCGAGCUUGAUUCUCCCAUUGGAAUUCCAUUGUCAUUUUUUUCUAAUUACAAACAACCGAACCCAAUUGCUCCAGCCACUGUAUACCCAAUACUAAGUCCAAACCAGUUAGUGGUAAAGAAUAGAGGGUAAGGAAAAAAGGGAUACCCUGAAGGAGGACAUGCACGUUCUCAAAUCUUCCCUGGCACUACAAUCGAUUCCCAUUAGCAACCCGCACCGUGAAUGGCUCGAUAGGAACCAUGGGUAAGUGAAGCAAACUAGCCAUCUUUUCACUAAUAAAAUUAUGGGUAGAGCUGUUGUCAAUGAGCACAACCACUUUAUGAUGCCCGUCUCUAGCCGUGACCCGCAUUGUUUUGGAGGUGGACCAUCCAGUCAACGCAUGCAAGGAUAUCUCUGGUUCAGGCUGAAGAUCGGAUGUAGGCUCUUCUGCAACCUCGUCAGUAAAUUCUUCACACGUAAUGUUGCCCGCACUAGUGCUUCCUUCAAGUAGUAAGAGUUGCGGUCCUCUGCACUUGUGUCCCACAGUGAACUUGUCAUUGCAAUUAAAGCAAAGACCUUGAGCUCUUCUUUUCUGCAUUUCUUCCCACGUUAGGCGCUUCACUGGGAAUGCUGGUAUGGAUCUUGUUGGAGUUGAAAUGUCCAGCUACGGUCGGUUGAGUUGAGGUGGCAAUGUAAAUCUUCGUUGGCGCAAGAGCUGGUCGUCUCGCAUGCAGGCAAGGCUGACAGCCUCCUUCAAUGAUUUCGGCUUAAACAUCCGGAUGCCUUCUGCUAUUUCGGGCUUGAGACCUCCCAUGAAAGUUCCCACCAAUGCCUUCUGCGUCCACCCAUGCACUCGGUUGCCCAGUCUCUCAAACUCUUUCUGGUAGUCUCGUAAGGAGCCCACCUGUUUGACCCAUGAAAGUGCCUCAUCAAAAUCCUCACAUUCGGUUGGUCCAAAUCGAGCCCACAGUUCUUCCUCAAAAAUGGUCUAGGUCACAGCUCGCCCUUCCUCCCUGUAUGCUCGGCGCAGCCACUGCUAUCAUUGGUUGGCUUCCUCUUCCAAAUGGAACAAAGUCGAGGAGACUUUUUGUGCUUCAGUAGAGCCUUGGUACUCAAAGAAUUGAUCUACGCGGUUGAACCACUCAGUGGGGUCGUUGCCAGAGUAUUUUGGAAACUCAAGUUUGGCCAUCUUUGAAGAGAAGAUCUGCCUUCCUCCGUCCAUGUCAUCUCUGUUUUCUUCCCUGUUGGUGCGAGAAUGACCAUCUCGGUCAUUGUUGAUGUUGCUGGAGCCUUCCUUGUUGGAAAACAAAGCCUCGGACAGUCUGUUGAUGGUCCCCUCGAGUUGGUGUAGCUUGUCAGCAACUCCCAGCUCCAUUCAAUUGAUGCCAUCUUGAAGUCCUCCAAGCCCUGCUUCUAAUCUCUCGAUCCUCUCCUUGUUAGUUGCCAUUGUAACCCGGGCUCUGAUACCAAUAAUAGGUCCCAGUCAAAGCUGAAUUACAAUUGCGAAAGUAAUAGUAUUCUCUUCGGGUGAGAAUGUACCGCAAGUAGUUGGAUAGAAAUUUUGCUUGCCUUUAUUCAUGCAUUCAGCAGAAUUUAAAUAGACAAUGGAUAACAACCUCUCCUACACUUACGACCAUAGUUUCCUAGAAUAAAGACUCUGACUGCAAAAUAAUAGCUAACAAACAACAAAAUAAUAGCUAACAAACACUCGACUUAUUCUAUGCAUGUGAAUGUUAUCCAACAGACUGGAUCAAUUCUUCCAUUAAAACUGCAACGAUCUUGGAUGACCAAGUCUUCCAACAAAACUGCAGCUAGCUUGGACCAGGUCUUCUUCAAUAGUCCCCAUGCAUGCCAUGCACGUCGUUCCCUCACUCCCUAUUAUACUUGCGAUUCUUUAUGGGUGUGCGUUGGGUCUGCCUUGGCCUAUCACAUAUAAACAAAUGAAAUUUUCUUACAUCUUGUAUAUCUUCUUACAAUAUCCCGUUCCUUCCUUCCCGUCAUCUCUUUCCACCACCACACCUAAAUCUUCCUGAUCAUGCCACCUUCACCCUCUACCCUAGUUUUGGUUAAAAUUUCCGUUCAUAUUUGGUUAAUGGAAGCAACGCCGCACCAUAUUUUCAGUAGCAUUGUGAAAAUUAAAAAUAAACACAAAAAACAAAUAUCAAACUUGGUCCAAAGUACCGUUCUGUCCACCGGCACUGCACCAACAUCCUCUCUUUCUUCAUCAACCCCUCGGUUGAGUUACCGACCUUGCACCACUUCCAGAAGUUUCAGCCUUUUUAAACUAAAAAAAGAAAUACAACGAUAAUAUGAACCUAGAAAUAGAAGAAACUAAUGAAGAAUCGAAACCCUGGAAGCUAAAAUCCUCCAAGAAUCGAUGAAAACCCUCAUUGGAACAAGAAACAAUUAAUUUCCACCUGGACUCAAAAAAGUGAAACAAGAACCGAACCCUUAGGUUACCGACCAAGAUCUCUUUCUUCAUCAUCUCCUCGGUUAAGUUAUCGACCUUGCAUCACCUCCAAAAGUUUCAGCUUUUUUGUAACUGAAACAAGAAAUACAACGAUAAUACGAUCCAAGAAAUAGAAGAAACUAACAAAGAAUCAAAUCCCCAGAAGCUAAAACCCUCCAAGAAUCGAGGAAAACCCUCAUUGGAACGAGAAGCACUUAAUUUCCACUGGAAUUCAAAAAGUGAAACAAGAACCGAAACCUUAGGACAGAAACCCUCGGCAUUCGUUCAAAACCCUUGCAGGACCAAGAAUCGCAUAAAAAGGAAGAACGAGAAGAGAGAAGAGAGGAGAGAUAGAAUACCGAAAGCACUGAGAUGUUCUGGACGGCGAAGGAUUCGUAGUGAACAUAGAUCAUGGACUUCCGAUUGUCAUGCCUCUCGUCCACCGCUCUGCGAGGGGCCUCCGUCCUUCUUUCCUUCAUCUGAAUCUCGCUCUCUUUCAAUUGUGUCGCCUGAAACGAGAGGGGGAAACAAAGCUAACGAAAGGUGCGGGCCCUAUUUAUCGGAGUGGAGAUGGCGGUGGGUCCCUUUGUGAUCCGUGUACUGCCAGCUGUUAUCUGAUCGCACGCGCGUAUAACGUUUUUUUUCCUGGUGAUAUAUGUGCCCUCCGUUUUAGCCGAUCUAAGUGAUCCCGUCCGUCCGUUUCUUCGUGAUGUCACUGGUGAACAGGAUUCAAGAUCCGCAGGCGGCAUAGGAUUUUCCGCAGGCACGCGCCGGGAUAGUGGGAUGAUGGGAAAGCAGAUGGUAAGGCCUACGGACCAAAAUCUACUCUGUAUGGGCUGGAUUGGGCUGGGCCGGUGAAAUAUUUGAAAUUGUCUCCACUUACAUUACAUACUAUCUUUCUUUUCUUGUCUCGUGAAAAUUUACCCUGCUUGUGCAUCAACAUACAUAUUUUCAAAGGUAUAUUGGAAUUUUCCUGGAAUAAAUGUGUAAUAUAUAAAUGAAAGAUGAAAUCGCCUAAUCUCUUAGGUGAAAUCUCGGAGCUUCCUAAUGGAAAAUUCUUAAGUUGUCUGAGUACUCGCCCCAGUAAUCAAUGAAGCAAAGAUUCGGAAGAUUUGCUCUCAAUGUUCCUUGCAUUAUGACAACAACCCAGCUUCAAUCUUCUGAGGUAGAGUCUGCAUAGCUCCAAAUGAGCCAGUGUGACACAAUGAUAAGAUUGUGAAGUGCCAAACAUCCAUGAUGCCAGUUCUGCUAAAUUUACAACCCUCCAGCUCUAAAACACGCAAGAAUCCAAAGGAUAAUAUAUUAGCAGGCAAAUCAUGAAAAACGUUGUCCAUUUCAUUCUCCGCAUUGCAAUUUUUGCCGGAGGAAUGAUGGCGUUCCUGGUGGCAAAAAAAAAGUUGCAGACAACUCUUCGAUUGUGUUAUAUGACGCCAAAAAUCUAACUAUUGUCUAAUGGUUCUUGAUGAUGCAUAGCUAGUACCUUCGCACCGUCAAAGAUUCAUGAUGGAGCAUCGCUGAAAGCACCAUGAGUUCCUUCUCGUCCGUGUCCUCCCUGAUAUCAGAGAAAUCCACAAAAACUAAUCAGUUAUCAGUGGAUACUACCUAUAUUUAUAUAUAUGUAUGUAUGUAUGUAUGUAUGUAUAUAUAAUAUAUGGAUAGUACCUAAAUUUCCUUUAUUGAGGGCUCUUUCCAAUGUAACAUCUUGUCAUCUUUGAACAAGAUGAUCACAAAAUAAAAGAGCAUGCUUGUUAGGCUAAUGCUCUCCAUAUGCGAAAUAAUGACAUGAAUAAGUAGGAAAUAAAGAAUCUCUGUGGAUGAAGACACGCUGACAAGGGAAUUCUUGCAAACAAUACAACUUUUACACCAUCAGCAUCCUAAUCUUCAUCUGCUUCUUACAAACAAAAAUUUAAUUAAAAGACUUCGCCACAAAAUUUUUCAGAUCGAUGUCCCAAUCCGACAUGCAUGAUCAAGGCUAAGGAAUCCCCAGAAGCCUGUAAAAGUCCUAAUCUAGAACUUUGGUGAUGAUGAGCUACAACUUUUUAAGACUUGCGAGAUAUAAACCAACUGCUUCCCGGCAUCCUCUUAACACCUCUUUCCUCCAUCUCUCUUCUGACCCUCUCUGCCUCCUCGUAUUUCCCUGCAGCAGCGUAAAUACUUGACAGCAGAACAAAGCUCCCUGCGUUCUCUGGCUCUAUCUCAAACAACGCUCUUCCUGCAAUCUCCGCAAGCCCAACUUCUCCAUGAUUCCGGCAAGCCCCAAGAAGUGCCCCCCAAGCCUUAGCAGUUGCUUUCACCGGCAUCCCCUGUAAAACCUCAUGAGCGUCAUUCAAUCUCCCUGCUCGGCUCAAAACAUCCACCAAGCACGAGUAGUGAUCACUGCCUGCCUCCACUCCAUAGUGUUUGGUCAUUAGCUCGAAAUAUUCCAAUGCAUCAUCUGCAAGUCCGGCAUGACUGCAUGCCUUCAACACGCUAAGAAACAUAAUCCCAUCUGGCCGUACACUGUCCCUUUCCAUUUUCUGAAGAAGAGACAUCAUAAUUCGAGCGUUGCCAUGGAAUGCAUACGCUGAUAUCAUGGAGCUCCAUGCUACCACGUCCCUCUCCGGCAUCUGAUCGAAAAUUUUACGUGCAUCGAUCAAACAACCGCACCGGCCGUAAGCUUCAACGAGUCCGCUGGACAGGUGGGAAUGCAGUUGGAUGUGAUGUCUCAUGGCAAACCCAUGAACUUCUUUGAUCAAAUUCAAUGAGCCAAUGCUUACACAAGCAGGUAAGAGUGCUAGAACCGUGAUCAGGUUGGGCUUCAAACCCGAUCCCUGCAUCCGCCGAUAGAAACCGAGGGCUCGAGACGACCCGUCAUCGGACUCUGCGAGUGACGCGAUUAUUGAAUUGUAGGAUGACUCGGUGGGAGUGACAUCCAUGAGCUCAAACAACCGCAGCGCGUUGGUUAUAUCGUUAGAACGGGAGUAGAGAGAGAUCAUCGCAUUCCACACGACAACAUUCCGCUGCGGACAUUCCUCGAACAAUUGUCGGGCAGAGGUAAUGGAGAUGCAUUUGCCACAAGAAUCAACGAGAGCGGAUGCAACGAAUGGGUUAGAGAGCAGACCGGCCUUGACGGCAUGGGCAUGGAUCAGAGCCACGGCGUGCGGGAGGUGAAGGGCGGCGGAAGACUUGAGGGCGAGGGGGAAGGCAUAUGGGUCCAGAGCGAGGUCGGGGCUGGAGAACAACUGGGAGAAGAGGGUGAGGGCUUGGUGGUGAUGGCCUUGGUUCACAUAGGAAGUCAGGAGCUUGGUAUACGCAAGUAGCCGUUGGUGGCUGUUCCGGAGGAAACGCAUGGUCAACUUUAUUCUCCUUCAGUUUCUCCUCCUGGUAUUUGAAUGAAUCCCUCAAAAGGGGUAUCCUAGGAUUUGAUAGCGCUGUACCUGUUCUACUGUCUACUAUUUAAGAUGAUGCGGAUCUUGGCGACAUUCACAUCUAUUGUGUAUGAGCCGUUGUUAUACUAAAAAAAAAAAAUGAUGCUACUGCAAUGAUGAGUCCCAAAUCUGGUGUUUUUGUUGGUUUUGCAAAAAUGAAAUACCACCGUUCUUUGCUUGUGAGAUUUUCUAUGUCUAUAAAUAUUUUUUCUUUUUCCUAUAAAAAUAUGUUCCAAUUAAUUUUAUGCUUGAAUGAAUUAGAGUCAAGGAGUGAGAGUGCAUUCAUUAGAUGGAUGAAAUCAUCAUGGUCAUUGAUGAUUCUUUUGACAUUAUUAUAGCCAUCUAUAUUUACUAUAUAUCAAGUGCAUUUCAUAUAUCCAAUCUAAAUUCAAUAAAAGUUUAAGAUGUCUUUGAUUUACAUUUUUUUUCUUUUAGAAUCAAAAUGGGAGAAAAUCUAGUCAAAAUUGGGUGAAAGCAGUUGAACCCAAGUCAUCCAUGCCACGACACUGUGCAUUUUACAGAAUUUUGUUAUAAUUAAUCAUGAUAUUUCAUGCAUGCGAUAAUAAGGUGACGCAAUUAAUAUGAAUAGCACAUGCUAGUUUAUCAUGAGGUUUUAGUGUGAUCCAUGAAAACAUAGGAUGUUGAUUCAUCCCCUUGAUAUCAUCACAUGAUAGCAUUUGUAGUUGCAAGUACUAUUGGCCUAAACUAUUUUCUUAAGAUAAACUAGCAUCAUAAAUCUUUAAUUAGAGUGGGUUUUGCAUAAAAAUUAUUUAAUUAUUGAUUUUGUAGAAAUUUUUCAAUUAAUCUCUUCACCAAGUGGUAAACAUUUAAAGAUUUUCCGACAAUCCUGUUUGUGAGCCCAAGUAUGAAACAUGUGAUGCAUGAUUAAAAUCUGCUAUUUAUUUUACUUUAUCGCCCAUCUCACACUUAGUCCUUGAUAUAAAUUUAUUCAAACUAUCUAAAUAUAUAAAUUGUAAAAAAGAAUCAAACUUUUCUUGCAAAAUGAAUAAUUAAGAAGUUGUGAUCAUCGAUCCUACCUCCGCACCAUUAUAACUAACUGCCUGUAUAUUAAUAAGCUAUUCCUAAUUUAAUUUAAUUCUUGUUAUAAACAAGAAAAAUCAAAAAAAUAUUAUUCUGCUAUUGAUUUAUACCUCAAAAUCAAGAUGCAAUUUUUUUUUAAAGAUCAAUAGGCACCUAGUGCCUAGAGGAAUUUUUUCUAAAAGUUAACAAAUCAGAAUAUAUUUAGUCAACCAGACAAAUAACAAAACUUCUAGUUUGAUUGUGGAGAGAAUAAUAAAUUCGGUCUUCCAGCUCAGCUGUACAAAACGAGAAACAGAGAAAGCUCCAAUCACUUCAAAUCCUCGAGAGGAUAAUUUCUCCUCAAGAAAAAUUUUUAUAAAAAAGGGGCAGACGGACUAUUUUAAAACGUAUUCGAACCAACUAAAGGAAGAAAAUGGAAAAAGGAGAGAUCUUUCGAAGUUGUCUGAGUCUUGUUAUAAGUAAUGGAGCAAGAGAGAUUACAUUUUUAUGUGAUAUUCUCUAUUUCUUCUAAGAAUUCUUCUAGAUUUCUUCGUGCUGGUUGACAGAAGCGGUUCAAUGCAUUUGGAGGCCUAAAGCGAACUCAUUAAGAGGAAUCUUUUUCCUUUUUCUUUUGUCUUUGAGGCAUUCCCUGCGGAAGGCCUUUCUUGCGCCGGGGCCUUAGGCAACCGUCUUAGUCGCCUAAGAAUUGGGCCGGCCCCACUGGUUGACAACGUGUACUACAAGUGGCAUUUAGAGAUGAGGGUAGUCUUGAUGUGUGGGGGACGAGGAGAGAACCCGUAGAGGGGCGUCCCAUGCUGAUCGCUUUAGGAAACGGACUGGACACCCUCGGAAGUCGGAAGUGCGACUACGGUUCGGCACCUAAGCAGAACCAAUCUGCACCCAGAACGGUUGAAGCUGGAACUUGAACUGAUGUUUUUUUUGAAGCCCCUUGCUACAGAGGUGCAUUGCAGGGGCUGUGUUUUUUUUUUGAAGCUUUUUUGUUGAAUUUAGUAUUUAAAAUAUUCAUGCUGUAAAAAGCCUUGAGAAAAUUCUGGCAUAUCAAAGUGGAAUAAAUAAAUGAAUAUGUAGAGUGACAAAUUUGAUGAGUUCCAACAAGGCAACAAUCAAAAGAUUGGCAAUAGCAGACUACAACAGUAAACCGAUCUUUGGUUUCCACAAGUAUAAUAAUUUAGAAUCCAUAUAUAUUUGUCCCUAUAGAUGUCAUGACCCUUGAAGUCAGCUCAAGCUCUAAGAGCUCAUUAUCAUAAAUUAUCCUGGAUAAAUCAUGUUUCAAUGGAAAGAUGCAAUGGUAGCACCCAAGUAUAUUUCCUGAAAUAUAAUUAGCUGCUUCAUAAAAGUGAGGUUCAAUUUCUGAAAGGUGCUUGCAAUCUUAAGCAAAAGCUUCACAAGCUCAAGCUCACACUCACCUUAUCCCCACUAAACCCAUGAACAUCAAAUUCCUUGAGAAGACAAGCUCAAUUUGCCAUCCAAAUUAUGCAGCCUUCAGUUCUCUCCCAAUCCAAGCAUGCUCUAAUUAGAAUCAACUUUCUAAACAAAUAGAGAAUAAGAUGGUAUAACCAAAAUGCUGAAUGUAUAGCAAUCACCUCAGCUGCAUUGAUCGUGAGAGUUCUGAGAUUAGGAUAUUUUUGCAAUAAGGUUUACUCACUUCAAUGAUCUGACUGUGUCAAAAACUUCACAUUCUUCAGGUUUUAUUUUGAAAGUGGUAAGCAUUUUUCAGUAUGUUGCACUUCAGAUAGGAACUAUACUGCAUAACAGAGUCAUAGGUUAGAAAUCAAUCUCCAUGGAAAAAAUAACAUUACCUCUGAAGCCAUGAACAUGACAAUAAAGAACAUGUUAAGCCAAAAACAACAUGAUAUCUAAACCAAUCUUCAUAUGAUUAACAUGAUAAUUUGGAGCAGUACCUUCAAGUUUGUUCCAGAUAGUGCCCAGGAAUCGACAUUAGCGCUGUAAGAAUUCAAUAAUCAUGGAACGGAUCAGGAAUAAAUUCCAAAGACAAAGUUUUGACCUAUUAAAUCUUAGUAAUUGAACGAUAGGAUACUUGUCAUUAAACCCUUGAAUAUCUGGUCAUAAUAUCUAAUGGUAUUUUUCAUGCAAUGCAACAUAGCCAUCAUAGAAAAAUCUUACAUAUACAAUAAAAUACUUGAGAUUGGAGGCAGAAAAUCUGAUGUCUCAACAUGUUGAAGAUUGCAACUCUGUGAGUCCAAAUUCUCAGGUGGAUAGCAAGAUAGAAGUUUAUCAGAACAUAGUGAAACAAGAUGAUAAUCUUUUGAGCCCUUACGUCUUAUUAAGAAUUCAAGCUGAGUUCAUCAAACCAAAACUUUAGUUUCAAAACCCUUAUGUCUGAACCCAUAGGAAUCUUGUGAGUCUUGGUGAUACGAAGGCCCAUCAAAGAAUUAGUACUUUAGUGCCAUGUACGGGACAGAAGCUUGACCUUGGAUGGAAGUGAGCUCAUUCAUGUAAUUGAGCCAUGGUUAGGUCCAUGAGUACUGCAAGUCAUUGGUUGAGACACCAAAUUACUUGUACUCAGUGGCAUAAUAUAUAUUCCACAGUUGUCUUAUUCCGAAUACCUUACCUGCAUAUAAUUCUGUAAAGCCUCAUAGAAAUUGAAGAAUCUUACUCGAGAAAAUCUGCAGUUGUGAGGAUAUAUGGUGUAAAUCAUAGCAAGGUAUAGGUACCAUGUUUUUUUAUAUUCAGCCAAAAUAAUUUUUGUUUUAGUCUUUACUGAUUCUGGAGAAUUUAGAGUAAGCUCAAGGUUAAGCCUUCCUUAGUGAAAUUGUUUGAUGGUUGUAGGUCAGGUUUUCAAUUAUACCCUCCUUUCUCUCUGUUUUAAGUUUUCAUUAGUUACCUCACCACCCACCCCCCAAAAAAAUCAAUAAAUAAACAAAAAUAAAGGACUUACACCACAACAAUUAUAGUCCUAAAGAUUCUAGCGUUAGCGGUGCCCAAGCAGCAAUAGAAUUAGUUUGUGAUGCAUUUAUGUAGUUUUGGGACACUCUAUCCAUGCCAUUAGAAGAAAAUAUAUCGAACCUUUGUUAUUCUCUUGCACCUGUGACCAAUAUCUCAAGCCGUGUGAUCGAUGUUGAUCAGGAUUUUUUUUAUAUAUUUCUCGAGAAAUGUAGAUAAAAAAUUCUUUUGCAAUUAUUAGGAUCAUACCUUUUGUGAAAUAUUCAAAGGGAAGCCUUAUCAAAGAACAAAGGGCCAGAUUACAUAUCUGCAAUUUAUCUUUUGCUAAUGUUUCUGCUAUUUUAAAGCAGCACCCAAGAGGCAAAAACACUACUUCUCAAGUAAGAUAUAAUUACAAAAAUUCCUGCUAAAAGUAAAAGCAGAUUAUUGAAGACAAGCAUGUAGGAGGAUAGAAGAUGUUAGUGGUCUUUGGAUCUCUUCAUGCUGAAUAUUCACAUUACUGCUUCCAUCUGCUCGCAUUGUCUCCUGAUUCUCCAGUCUUCUUUGAUGGAACUAGAGUAACUUUUUCUGCUGAAAAUACGUUACUAGACAAUAAUUUCACAAAACUGAGUUCAUUUUCAGUUGCACCAAAGUUACUGAUCUCAACCACCCUAAGAUGACAUAGACGAGCCGAAUCUGGCAUAGGGGCUAUGGAUCCUCCUUCCAUGCAUAAAUUAUUUGGCACCUGCUUAAAAGUGAAUAUCAUAAAAUCAAACUGUUUGAAAUUACCAAGGAAGCAUGGAUUCUGUCAGUCCUCUUAUCACCUCAUAUUGAUCAAUCACCAGAGAUUCCAGAUUGGGCGAGCGCUGAAGCAGGCUAGUUAUCGCUGCAAUGCCAUCUCUGUCAAGUGAAGUGCCUGCUCUCAGAUGCUUAAGUUUGCGAAAUAUGGGAAGACUCUGCGAACGAUCUCUUCUUUGCAGGAGAAACUUGAAGAAGAAUAAGAUGCAAGUACAAGGAUCACAAAAUGCUGGUGGAAACAUAAAACAUGCAACCAAAGACUACUUCCACCUUAAUUUAUAUCAAACAAGAAUUAGAUUCCAAUUCAACACCCAACUGGGAUAACAUGUUGGAGGAUGAAAAGGGGACGCAUACCUUGAAGGCAACAGACAAGAAUUCCAGAGACUCAACAUUAUGAAGUCCUGCAAGCAAGUUACUUAUUCUUCUAUAGCGAUCCAUAUCCCCAGCAUCAUCAUCAUUCGAUGAAUUAGAAAAGAGGCAGAUAGAAGCACACGUCAAAGAAGACAAGUUCAUUAGAGUAAGUUCUUGAAACACCAUGCCCCAGUAGGCAAAGGACAGCAGUCUUGGAGCAGAAAUCCGAACCACGGCCUCGGCAUCGUCAGGUACAUAUAGUUCUAAUCUCUUAAGUGCAUGGGAACAAAUCUCUAAACUAGUGAAAUAACAAUGCUCGAAGGAUAAAACUUCGAGGAGAGGGCAUCCAGAGAGGAGCUCCUUUAAUGAGUCAUCCAGGAAUUCGGCAUAUGAGACCUCCAACCUCUUGAGCUUAGGGAGGGAUACCGAACCAGGCAAACCGAUGAAACCACACAUAGCUUCCAGCUUCAGCACCUGCAGUGACUGGCAACUGAAGAUACAGCUCGGCAAGCUCUCAUCUAUGUACAGAUGCAUUUGAAGCUCGAGACAUUUAACGUUACGUUUCACCACAAAACGUAGCCAUCGGUCAGCUUGCUCCAAAUCUUUCCCUUCCCCCAGCCAUUGAAGGCGGAACGUGGAGAUGUCCGACGCAUCGCGGAGGAGGAGGACAGUGUCGAUAAAGUUCGGGAACCUCCGUCUACCAUCCGCGGUGGAAUCGAAGUCAUCAGAGGAGAAUGACAGGCUAGGAGCCGACGCCCACAGGUGCGUCCACCUCUUUGACAGGAUGCUCGCCUCCACAAGUUGUCGGGUGGGGAGGAACGAGAAUAUGUGGUGGAGAAUGGCAUCAGGCAAUUCACUGAUCCUGUCGCGGCUUCUUCCAAUCUCCAUGGCGCCACAUCCGCUUCCUGCUAUCCGACCGACCGACAUCUAUCUUGUUGCUGUGCUCUUCAUUGUGUUUAUGACUUUUACGAAAUCGGGAUCUGAAUUUCGUCAAAACUCGGAUUCAUCCAUCGAAAAAAGGAACGGAUUUGGGUUUCUCUCUUGUAAUGAAACAGUAAAUAGUUGUGAAAAGUGAGAAUUAUCGACCAGAGAUUUUGUUCAUCGUCGGAAUACCAUAUGAACAAUUAGUGGGAUUUGAUGCUGAGAAAAUCUAAUAACAGCUGUGAAGAGAAGCUGUAAGAACUAAUUCAUAAAUUGCCCAAGAAGAAGGACAGAUCCAGACCUUAAAGAGACGAGAGUUAGAGGAAAAUUACCGGAGAAGAAGAAAAUGACGACGUCGUUCGCUCGUUCGCCCGGUGAAAAAUCCUAGCUAAUUUCCGACGGAUACGACCCGCGCGCGUCCAAAUAAACCCCAGGAAGGGCGACGACGGCGAUCGCGAGCGAUGGCCGCUUGCGGUUAUGCCCUAGAGGAGAGGAGCAAAGGCAGUGUAUUUUCUCCGGGAGCGGGAGCGAUCCAUAAAAUACGGCCACGUAUUAAUAACAUUUUCCUGAACAAUCUUCUUUGAGAUCUUGUUGGCCGUAGUGACACCGUCGAGUGUGAGUCCCCGCUGUUAAAAAAAAAGAAAAAAAAAUCGUAAGUAAUUAAACAAUAAUUUAGGGACCCUUAAUAAAAUUGCUUUGACGCUUCCUCAGUCGGCAUUUUGAACUCACAUUAACGGUAAAACUUUCAGAUAGUCCUUUUUUUUUCUUUAUUAUUUUUUUGGGAGACAAACUUUCAUCAUUAGACAGCUCUCAGACCAUGCGUAAAACUUAUAUAGCCGAAAGCUCCACCCCAAGUUCGUUGUUGUUUCUUAGGAGCUUCUACCCCCGGCCAUCUCAAUGUGAACUUUGAUUGUUGUACUACUGGUGAUGGAGAUAGAGCAGUGUAGAGUUCGUGAUCAGGAGUCAUGACUCACAGGUCAUUGCUGUAGGCAGGUGAUGCACAUAUGGACUGACAUCUAUAGGAGCGGAGCUCAGAGCAAUAUAGGAAGGUAUUUCCUAUGUGAGACAGAGGUUGAAGGCAGAGCGCAUUAUUUUUAAGGGCGACUCGGCCACAGUAAUCAAUUAGUUACGCGAGGAGGGGCGGAGAGGGGAUGAGAGUCCUCUACCCGGUGAUAUCUGGCAGAUGGUGAGAGACUGCAUUAUCUUUCAGGCAGUGCAUGCGUAUAGAUAGGCUAGGCAAAUAGGGCUGCCGACUGGGUCGCCUCCUAUACAUCACAACAUUUCGGAGGGGUUAUAUGGACCAACCAGAAUAUCCCUCCUUCACAGUUUUGCUAAAUUGUCGUCCUAGAUUCUGUUGGCUGUACUUAUACUAGAAUAGGGUGAGCAACCAUUGUAUCGAAAAAAAAAAAAGGGGGGGGGGGGGGGGGGGGGAGUGAAAAGAGAUAACUAUUUCUAUGAUGUCAUCCACAUUAGUUAUAUUGCAUAUCAUAUUUGGUUGUUCAGAAAUAUUUGCAUAUUUGAUAAUUUUAACAAAAACUCUCAAGUGACACUCAUGAAGGUAUCCUUUCAGGCAACUGAGUUCAUUCAUGCUAAUACCAUAGAAGAACUUUUGAUAGUUAGACACACCUGAGACUAUUGCUCGCAAUUUCUGCGCCAUUCAUUGUGAUUUAUUCCCCAUUGGAAUCCUCCAAGCUCCCUCAAAAUUAACUUUUACAGUAGCACUUUGGGUGGUGGUUUUACUAUUAGUGCAAGGGUCGUCGUUAGAAGUCCUAAUUCACCAUUGGUAGCAGCAAGUGGUUCGCAUUUGUAUGAUUCCACCUAUUCUGAUGGCAGAACUUAGGGGAGCUUGGGAAGGUCUAUUAACUAUAUAUAUGCCACCACUAUUUGAGGGCACCCAACAUUACAUUGAGGGGGACUUAAUGACAAUGAUUACCUAGGUGACCAAUCCUAUUAAGUAGGUUGAUGAUGCACAUCCUCUUCUAGCUAAUAUUUGGAGGAUUUGUUCAUUCUUGAUAGUUUUAAAGUUGCUCAUGGAUAUAGGGAGGCCAGUGCAGAUUGAAUCACUUCCAUGCAACUAAUCAUAUGGGAUAAAUCAUUUGGCUCUCCCUUUUUUUAUUCCCGGGCUGUAUGCUGAAUUUAUGCUCGAGCCUAAGUCAGCAAAGAGCUCGAGUGGCUUAGGCUUGUAAGGAAACCAAGCAAAUAUCAAAUUUGAGCUCAGCCUAGUUCAACAAAGAGCCUAAAUUUGAAGCGUCAUUAGGUUUGAUGGUUUUGGGCUAGCGUUUGAGCAGCAUAGUUUCAACCUUGAAUCCCCUUAGAUUGUUUUUUCAUCUAAAAAUAAUGGCUGUUAUAAUAUUUUGGACGUCUCUUAUUACGUUAGAUGUAUCGAUUGAGAGACUUGAUGUGAUAACUUUCAUUUCAUUGUAAAGGCCUUUAUUCAUUUAUUUGUUAUUUAUUUAUUAAGAAGAGAGGCAAACCUCAUUUGUAUUAUCGGAUGGUAAGUAGAACUUAGAAACGGACGAACACACGGUGGAAGGAAACGUGUACAUAGGACUGGUGCAUGACAGAAAAGAAGACGAUGACCAACCAUCAGCACAAACAAACAACACACAAAAAAAAAAGCUAGGAUGCAUGGUCCCACCCAGCAGCCCGCUUGGCAACCAACGACACAAUAGACAAAGCAUGGCCCAACCAUGCAAUGCGAAGGGGUCCGGGUCCGGCGGCCUUUGGGGACGGCACUGCCCCAUUUCAUAGAGCCUAGCUUGUAUUUUGCAUUCUGACUCUUCAUAGCGUACUCGUAUCUGAGUGUAGUGAGACACCGAUGUACCCCCCCAAAAAAAGACGGGGAGGGGGAGGGGUGUUCUUGUUGAAAGGUUUUGCACCUUAUAAGGCUGAUUCUGUAGGAUUGUGUUCUACACAGAUCUCAAAGCAGUUCAAAUUUUUUCGUUCAUCCAUUUGUAUAGAUCUUAAAGCAACUAUCAUGUGAUCUAAUAGGGGACGCGUAUAAAGAAAAUAUGAAUUCUUCUUUUGUUCGAAAGAUACAACCCUAUCGCACCGUAAAGAACCUAACAAGUGAGGAGUAAACAUUGGAGGGUUGAGCAAGAUGAGUCAGAAUCCUCUACGGUGCAUAGUUUGCACCGCAUAAGGCUACAUAACACUGAAUAGCAACCAUGUUAUCUAUCUUGAAAAGAGAUAGCCUCCUUCAAUUUGCAAUACAUCAUGUACCGUACUGAAACCAAGCUGCUCCUAUUCUCAAGAUAGAGAGCUGUUCGUCUCUAAGAUGAAUGACGUGGUGGCUAUCUAAAGCUUUAUUGUUCUCUACGGUGCAAAACAUGCAAUAUAGAGGUUCCUAACUAUAGAAAAAUACCAUAAGGGCUAACGUUAUCUUAGGACACCAUUGACUCUAAAGCAUCGCAAACAUUAAAAACUCACACAGAGAGAAUAUAGAAGAUGCUAGCCUAUUGGGGCGUCUUGAAAGCCCGAAGUAGAGCAGCCAACAUCAUCUCAGGCUGUGUCUAACGGUCACCUUCAUGGCCUAUGUAGCAUUGGGCGUCGAACAGCUCUCCAAAGGGCCAUGCGCACCUUAUCAACAAGAGCUUGGUGAGCAGUAGUGGCAUUGGGUUUUAAGUCCCCAAGCACCGCACAAAAGUAUGGCGGGUGUUGACCAGCCUAUAUAUGGAGGAGCUUGAGAGCCUCCCAAUCUCAGAGUCAUGGUGGUCUAAUAUGAAGGUUUAGAUUGUCUGUGGUGUGUUUUGCACCAUAGAGGGCUUGUGUAGCCUUGCAUAGCCACCAUAUUGUGGUCCAUCUUAGAGACAAAAAGCUAUUUUUCAUCUUGAGAAUUUGAACAAAUCAUGCUUGACAGAGCAUGUGAAAUAAGUGAUGAUGAACAGCAUGAUGGCUAUCCAGAGCUACACGACACUCUUAUAGUAUAAAACACUUAUCGCACAAGAUUCUGACUCCUAGUUCAUACCUAUUUGAUUGGCGGAGGAUUGGUGUGGAUAGAUGACGAUGGUACUAGAUCCAUGUUCGCUGGCCAUGGAUUCAAGCAGCCCUACUUGCUCCAUGAGCUGGCAGGUUGAUGGAUCCAAAACGGAAUACAUCACCAUGAACCCUAAUCCCUCCUUGUAUGCUUUCUUUGAUUGGAUCUUUUUUGGGGUAUACAACUUUUAUGAUGAUACAUGUAGCUUAUGUUUAGUCUCAUAUUAAUUAUACACUAGAUAAAUCUUAGAUAUAUGUACAAUUCUAGGCAGCAUAAGAUAUAUAUUUUAAUCAUAUUGGUUAUACACUUGGUAGAUCUCGGAUACAUAUACAGAUUCAAAAAAUUCAAAUAAUACUCUUCUACUAGCUUUCUUGGAUGGAGUAAUGCUGAUUUUUUUUGGGUACGGGAUGAAGUAAUACCUUUCAGCCAGUCUUUUUAGAUGAGAUAAUAUAUGCUAGGUAGCCACCUCGACAUUGAACAAUCCAUCUCCAUUUGAAAAAUUGUUCAAACAAAUCCCAAAUUACAUCAAGCUCAAGCAAUUUGGCGGCCUAUGUUAUCCCUUAACUAGGCCGUAUAACAAACAUAAACUUGAGCCCAAGGCCCAACCAUGUACAUUUGUGGGUUACUCACUCUCCCAAAAUGCAUAUCUAUGCCUUGAGCCCUUUACACGAAAGCUCAUUCACUCUGGGCAUGUCAUCUUCCACGAAGGGACUUUCCCUUUUCAAAACACAAGCCCUAAAAUUCCCAUGCCCACUUCACCUACAUUAGGCCAAGAAAAUCCCUCCGUCAUGAUCUCGUUGCCAAAAGCCAGCUUCACUCUGCUUCAAGCUCCAGAAACUCCGGUAUUGGGUGCUGAAGUCUCGCCAUCGUCUGCGACUGGGUCACCUCCUGAACCGCCUCCUCAUCAGGUUAGUAACCCCUCUUCCUCUACCUUGAUUUCGAAUCAAAUUUCUCCAUUAGAAGUGCAUGAAUCCAAUGUUUCUGAAAACAAUGAAGUACUCACUUAUCGCAUAUGAGCAAUAUUUAUAAGCCAAAAAAAUCAUUUGUAGUCACUAAGCAUCCUUUUCCACCCUUCUUGGAACCCACGAGUGUUACUGAAGCACUCACUGAUUGACGAUGGCGUGAUGCCAUGUCCUCUAAAUUGACUAUUUUAAUGCAUCACAAUACAUAGCAACUAGUUCCACCACCGAGUGAUUGUAUUAUUGUUAGCUGUAAGUGGGUGUUUCGAAUUAAGAAGUAUGCUGAUUGAUCUGUUGAUCGAUUCAAGGCCAGACUCGCGGCAAAAGGGUUCAAUCAGAGACCAGGACUGGAUUACAAAGAGGCAUUCAGUCCUGUAGUAAAACCAGUCACCAUACGCACUGUGUUAGCCCUUGCUGUUAUGCAAGGUUGGUCACUAAGGCAAUUAGACGUCAAUAAUGCCUUUUUUUAUGGGCAUCUCACUGAAAAAGUAUAUAUGAAAGCAACCACCUAGUUUUAGAAAUCCGGAAAAACCAAAUCAUGUUUGCUGUCUUACAAAGGCAAUAUAUGGGCUAAAACAAGCACCUCGUGCUUGGUACUCUGCCCUCAAACAAGAACUAUUAGAAUUUGGUUUCCUCAAUGCUAAAUCUGAUUCUUCUCUAUUUGUGUUUCAUGAUGGUUCUAUACUUGCCAAUUGCUUGGUGUAUGUUGAUGAAUUUGAUUCUCACUUGAAAUAAUUCGACAUUCGUUGCAAGCAUUAUUGAUCAACUUAGAAAAAAAUUCUCCAUCAAAGACUUGGGAUCAUUACAUCUUUUCCUUGGUGUUGAGGUCAUCCCGACCGAAGAAGGCUUGUUUUUAACUCAGCAUAAGUAUAUCCGAGAUAUACUUGAUAAAACGAGGAUGGAUGGAGCUAAGGAUGUCACAACUCCUCUAUUUACCGCAAUACCUCUAAAGCUGGCAGAUGGUUCCUCAUCAGCUGAUUCAACACAAUACCGAAGAGUGAUUGGAGCAUUGCAAUACUUGUCCUUAACAAAACCUGAUAUAUAGAGAAGGCACACUGCUAUGGUUUUGAAUUUUAAACUCACCAAUCAUUUCUAUUCAUACUCUGUAUAUUUAUACAAUCAGAGAAGCAUAAUUUUAGGUGUACAAAAUAUGUAACUGAAAAGAAAAUUUACAACACAAUAAAUGGUAAUAUGUACAAAAAUAAAAAACUGAUCCUAGAAUUAUGGGAGGCACAAAAAUCUAGUAGUGUUUAUUGCGGUAGCUAGACUUGAGUUGUCACUUGCUUGACUGAUCCUAGAAUCAUGGGAGGCACAAGAAAUCUGGCAGUGUUUAUUGCGGUAGCUGGACUUGAGUUGUCAUUUGCUUGUUUUCUUUAUUUUCCUUAAUAAUUACAACUUUAUUCAACAGUUUCCAUUAUUGAUCAUAAAUUGAUAUUUUUAUAAUACCAAUAUCUUUUAUAGUUGAAAAAUGUCGUUUUAUUGAUUUUCUGUUUGCUUUUGCAAUCAUCAGUGCUUGUUCUACUGGGACCAAACCGCUUGCAAAGUAAACAAUGGCAAAAAGAUAUUGAGCAAUGAAAUUUUGUAGGUGCUUGGUUCCUAACUGAGUUAGGGUUAUUGCAUUUAGGAGAACUAAGCCUCUUUUAGUUACUUCUCCACAUCUCGAACUUGCUUAUCUAAAUCAUAUUAAAGGCCUUUAAUCUGAGCACAAUCUUAAGGUUCUGGACUUUGGAGCUUCAACACCGAAGACAGAAUUUGUGUGCCCCCGAAAAAUCAUAUAUAUGGAAGCACUAUUUGCCAAAACUUGAAGCUCCAGUUACUUAUUGACAAUCAUCAAAAUCUUCAUGGCGAAAAAAUGAUCAGCUAUAAACGAGCCAAAGUCCGCAAGCGUCCCCACCUUUGGCGACAGGGCACAGCUUGACAACUUGCUCGGUUGAGAUCAAGUCUGUGACAUAGAAGUGAAGAAUAACACCAGGCAAUUUGGCGAUUUUGUUGCGGCUGCUGCUGCUCUACAUUGUGCUCCACUUACAGGUAAAAAACGAGACAAGAGGAAGAGAGAAAGCGGAUGGGUGAGGUAGGGGAGAGGCAAGCGAGAAAGAGGGUGCUGUGAGCUUGGGAGAAAGAGGAGAAAUUAGGCUAACAACUAAUAGAAGGCAGAACCAACCCGUUCAUAGAGCGAGGGGUACAUUAGAGUAGCAUAGUAUUAAUUAAGUUGGGUAGUAUAAAGCAAAGGUGGCAAGCGCAAAUGCAUCACAGAACUUGUUCCAGUCAAUGUAAAUCAGUAGUUCUUACCAACUUUUGUGUACCAAUUUUAUAUAAGUACCUGGAUUGGCGUAAUCAUCAACUUAAAGAUUUUUAUCUCCAAUCGAGAGGCUGAAAAAAGCAUAUCAACUAAAAUUAGGAGUUCCGUUUUCAGUCAAUGAAUAUUUAAAUUAGCCACAAUAGUUAUUUGUUAUUACCCUCACAUGCAUUACAAUAUUACAAAUGUAUGGACAUAUAAGGCUAGCAAUCCAACUGGCUAGUUUCACUUCUCUUCUAUAUAUUAUAUAUGUCUAAAUGGAGGCUCAACUUGUGUAGAGUUCUCCAUUCGUUGUAUGAACGCUGGCAUUAAUGAUAUUGAUGUCAAUUUGCUGGAUUAUUAUUAAAUUUUAUUGCUUAAUAUGCAAUAUUUAUUAAUGAUAUCAGUAUUAAUGUGUUGGGCCAUUAUUAAAAUUUAUUUGUUUAAUAUGCAAUAGAAAUUUGGCUUUCAAAAUCUUCUGGAUGUUAUAAUUUAUUACAUUAUCAUAUUACUUUUUACAAAUAGUUUGAAAAAGGAUAAAGAAAUUGUAACCCAUGCAUCAUGUGGGUCAAUAUUAAAACUGUUGGGAUUAAUGAUGGAAGUUUUUGUAUGGUGGCUCACGUUAUGCAAAAUUCUUCAUUCACCAUAUAGAGCUUGCACUAAUGAAGAGAGUUUUUGCUUUUUCAUUAAAAAAAAAAGAGAGAGUUUCAGCUUGGACAUAAUUAAACUUGAUUGUUGAAAUAUUUUAUUUGUGAUGACAUGGUGCAUUACCAUAUUAUAUUUCAACAAUAAUUGAAAAAAAUUGGAAAAAAUAGUACUCCACUCAUUGAUGCGGGUUAUAUUAUAGUUUAUAUAAAGUCUACUGUUUUUUCACUCUAUGUUAUGUAAAGCCGGUAUAGGCCAUAUCAACUUCAUUUAAAAUCAGCAAAUCUUGCCUUAUCUGUAUAAAUAUGCUUAAGGUCUGCUAGAUAUGAAAAUUAGCUCAACUUUUUCCAGCAAUCAAUGGACCAUUUGAUACAGCAUGUGUUGCAUCUCGCACAUGUGCCUUCUCUCUUGAUGUAUGAUCAUGUGGUUGAUGAUGCAUUAAAUCAUCAAAUGGUCCAGUGAGCAACCAUCUGAUUGUACCCAACCCUAAUAAAAUAUUUCAACAAUCAAUGGGCAACCAAUCCUUAGCACCUAAUAAAGAUAUUUUCUAUUCAAUGGGCAACCACAACCAUCUGAUUGUACCCAACCCUAAUUUAGACCAAUGUGCCCUCUCUCUCUCUCUNNNNNNNNNNNNNNNNNNNNACUACUACUACUACUACUACUACUACUACUACUACUACUACUCUCUCUCUCUCUCUCUCUCUCUCUCUCUCUCUCUCUCUCUCUCUCUCUCUCUCUAUAUAUAUAUAUAUAUAUAUAUAUAUAUGAAAUGGAGGCGGGUUCUCCAAUCCUUAGCUAGCAACCUGUAUUAAUGACAUCAAUAUUAAUGUGCUUGGGCAUUAUUAAAAUUUAUCCCUUAAUAUACAACAUAUAUUAAUGAUGACGGUAUUAAUGUACUUGGUUAUCAUUAAGUUUAUUAUUUAAUAUGCAAUAAAAGUUUAGCUAUUAAAGUCUUCUAUUUAUUAUAAUUUAUUAUAUUAUCAUGUUGUAUUCUAAAAAUAAUUGAAAAAAAAAGAGAAACCAUACCGUAUCCAUCAUGCAGGACCAAUUGCCGGUAUAAACAAUGAGAUUUUGCAUGGGGGCUUAGCUCAUGCAGACUUAUCCUUUCACCAUAUAAAUGCCAUCUUAGUAACGGCGGUAUUAAUGAUUGGAGUUUUUGGUUGGCCAUAAUUAAAGUACGUUACUAAUGUGCAACAUAAAUUCAACUAUUAAAGUCUUCUAUUUGGUAUAAUUUGUAAUGCUGCUAUAUUGAAUUUCAAAAAUAAUUAAACAAAGAAGAAAAAAAUCACUUAAAGUUAGCCAACCUUUCCUUAUCUAUAUGCAUUAUAUGCAUAUGCUUAAGGUUUGCUAGAUAUGAAAAUCAGCUCAACUCUUUCUAACAUUCAUUGAACCGCUUGAUCCAGUAUCAUGUUGCAUCUUACACGUAGGCCUUCACGGGUGUUGAUGCAUGAUCAUGUGGCUGAUGAAGCAAGGGACCAUCAAAUGCUCCAAUGAGCAUCAUUGGGUAACCACAGCCAUCCAGUUUUGCUUAGCGUUAGUUUGGACCAGUGGGUCUAUUAUAUAUAUAUAUAUAUAGAGAGAGAGAGAGAGACUAAUAUUAAUAACAUUGAUAUUAAUUUGCUCGGACAUCCUUAAAGUUCAUCAUUUAAUAUGCGACAUAUAUUAAUGAUGUCGAUAUUAAUAUCCUCGGCCAAUAUUAAAAUUUAUUACUUAAUAUACAAUAAAAAUUUAAGCUUAAAAGCUUCUAUUUAUAUAAUUUAUUAUAUUGUCAUAUUGCAUUUUAAAUUUAUUUGUAAAAAGAAGGAAAACGUAUGCUCAGCUUGCGUAAAAUUAUUGAAUACUAGUAUUAAUGAUGAUAUUAAUGAGAAAAGUUUAUAGUUGACUAUAAUUAAAGUGAAUUACUUAAUAUAUAACAAAAAUUUGACUACCAAAAUUUUCUAUUAUUAUAAUUUAUCAUAUUAUUACAUCAUAUUUUAAAAAUAAUUAAAAAAAAUAUUCUGUAAAUCGCAUAAAUUAUAUGCAAGUUUAUAUAAAAUCCACAGCUUUUAGACAUAACUAUUUCAUUUAAAAAUCAGCAAACCUUACCCUCUAUACGCUCAGGGUUUGCUGAAUAUGACAACCAGCUCAACUUUUUUGGAAGCCUUGGCGACUCCGACUCGUGAUGCAAGUUUAUGUGGCUGACGGAGAAUUGAGCGGGCGUAAAACCUCCCCACCUGGCAAAGAUAUUUUGCUAAUCAGUGGGUAGCCGCGUCCAUCGGGUUGAGCCCGCGCCCCUGGUUUGUACCAGCGGGAUCUAUAAAAUGACGGUAAAAUCCCUAAACGCCAUUAGCCCCGUCAUCAAAGGUCGUGCCUUGAAGCGCUCUGUGUGUGUGUGUGUGUGUGUGUGUGUGUCUCCGUCAUCGAAGGUCGUGUGUUGAAGCGAAGCUCCGAUCAGCCAUGGAAGCGGAGGGGAGCAGCUCUUCCGUGAACGCGAUGAUAAUAGAGCCAGCCAGGAAGCGAGCGUGCAGGGAUCGCAUCUCUUCCCUUCCCGAUUCGCUUCUCCUCAUCAUCCUCUCCUUGCUGCCGACCAUCGAUGCAGUCAAGACCAGCACCCUGUCCAAGCGAUGGCGCAACCUCUGGACUCAACUUCGCCACCUGGACCUCCAAUUUUCCCCGGAGAGCUUCAGCCAGAACCCUCAUUACCUUCAAAAGGCCCGGCAGAAGUUCCUCGAGUUCGUCAGCGUCUGCUUGAUUCUCCGCAAGCCCGACCCUCUCCAGCGCUUCCACCUCUCCUUCAACUUCUACGAUCGUGCCAGGCACUCGGCCAUGGUCGACGUCUGGGUCCGCUCCGCUCUCGAGCGGCACGUCGAGGAGCUCAUCCUGGACGUGGCACAUCGCCGAGUAGGCGGCAUCAAUCGGCGUAAGGACAUGUAUUCCUUGCCGAAAACUCUUUAUAGCUAUGGGUUUCUGACGAGCCUGUCCUUGAGCUACUGCGUGAUUAAGCUGCCAGCAAAUCCUUUGUGCUGGAGAUUGUUAAGGAGCUUAGCUCUGAGACUGACGACUCUGAGUGACGACCUGCUUGAGAGAAUUUUCCUGGAAUGCUCCUCUCUCGAGACUCUGAUUCUAAAGGACUGUGAUGGCAUUAGCACAAGAAGUGUAGCUGCUCGGAAUCUUAAGCACCUGACGCUGGAGGAAUUGAGGUAUUCGCUGAAGCUUUCUGCUCCAAAUCUUGUUACAGUGGCUAUUUAUGGGUCGGUCAUGCGUGCGACCCAUUCUUUGAAGGACCUGGUGUCCCUAGUGCGCGCAACCAUUAUCCUUCGAGAUGCACGAAUGGGGUAUUACAAUAGUGUGGACCGGGUGGCCAACCAUCCGUUAAAUAGUCUUCUUAUGGAUGUUCGUCAUGCACAAGUUCUGACAUGGUGCAAUUGCUGCACUGUGGUAUGUCUACGUUGAACUUUAAUUGAAUAUUUCAAUUUUCCAUCUAAUUGUGAUGUUUUAUAUCAGUCCGUUUAUUUAUCAACAAUCGCAAGUCCCUUAACGUUUAGUCGCAUCGUAUCAUAUAUUGAAGGCCUCUGUAGAUUUUGAUCGAUAAGAUUAUUGAAGCCAGAGGAUAAUUCAGAAAAAAAGAACCUCAUCUUUAAUUGUAUUUCUAAUCUCUAUUUUGUUUGUAUUUGUCAUUAUUAUAUUUCAAUUGUUCUAAUGUUCAGGAAACGUGGUCAUUUUUGCGGAUCAUAACUCUUUACAUACUACAUUAUAGCGUUCAAAAGAAAAUGAUGUAUUGUACUAUGCGUGGUAGAUUUAUUCUGACGGAGCCGUACAAUCCUUAAGUACUUUAUUGAUACCAAUAGCUGAAUGAUUUCUUAUGCGUUCUUCAGUUAGAUAGUUUGGCCAUUUGUUUCGCUGUGAAGCUUCAUUUCCUUUCUUUUCUUUUAUCUUGAGACUGGUGAUUAGUGAAUUUGCUCUCUAAUGUUCCUUUUUCCUCAAGAUUUUAUAAGUAUUUUAUUCUUCCGGAAAUGGGAAGCAAGAUGAGCAGACCUCUUUUCAAUGAGUUAACAUAGAUAGACAAUUGAUGUUGCAUUAUAGAUCUAUAAAGUCUAGUGAAAAUUAUGUUCUAGCUACUCUUAGACCAUGUAAAGAUUCUUUGUGGGUUCUAAAUAUCUUUUAUUCGCAUAUCAUUCUCUAGAUUUCUUUUCUUUUUUCCAGAGAACCUUUUCUACUUUGUUUUCAUAUUUUCAUGAAAUGAAUUGAUGGGUUCUUCCCAUCCUUUUCUAAUGAAUAAAAGGAUGAAGCUUUGAUUAGCUUAGAGAUGAACGAAGAAUCAUAGGAACUGUUGGCGAGAGCUGUAGUAUGCGACAUUGUGAUUUUCUGUCUGGAUAGGUGAGUAAAAAUGAAAAAUUAUACAGAUAACUUUAAGUUGAAAGUUCGCUCAGAACUUCUAUAAUUUCUCAUUUACUGAACCGGAAAUACAGUUUGGACCACAGACUGUUUGAGGUUCCUUAUUAAACUCUUUUACAAAGGGCGUUAAGUUUACGCUGCUUUUUGACAAAUCAAGUGUAACAACCCAAGGCCUCAUCCAAAAUGGCUAGCCGGAAAUUAUUGUUUGGGUUCCUAGAUCCUGUAUAAGUAUCCAAGAUCUACCCAGCGAAUAACUGAUGUGGGACUAAACACACGCCCGCACGGAUCCUCACAUACUCUCCCCGUCAAUCGGUCCGUGGUCAACCCCAAUGGAUCCGUGCUGCAGUGUCCCCUAGUCCACAUAAGUUAUAGGCCGGGUCCGCUCUGAUACCAUUUAUAACAACUCAGGAUCUCGUCCAAAAUGGCUAGUCAUAAGUUAUUAUUUGGGUUNNNNNNNNNNNNNNNNNNNNNNNNNNNNNNNNNNNNNNNNNNNNNNNNNNNNNNNNNNNNNCACGGAUCCUCACAUCAAGCGCCCAAUCAAAGUUUGUUGCCUGAGUUUUUAGUUGGAUCAUGUUGUUUUCUCCUGAAGCUAAGCGUAGAUGGGAGCCGUAAAGGUUCUCUGCACACAUUGAGGUGGAACAAACUCUAUUCGAUAGUUAAGGAGCAAGUUUAUUAUCCAGUAAAAUAUAGAAUAAGCUCUUUUUCUUUAUUUAUAAGUAGAAGAUUGAGAAAGGAAUCAACAAAGUUGGAAGUGGAGUUCAAACUCUACUUCCCUAGGAGGCUCAUGGUGGAACCCUAGCAGGCUUUCGGGAAAGGGAAAGCCAUUAGCGAGGUAAAUUGGGAUGCUAAUGGGAUCCACAGCGCAGGAGUGCUAUGGUUUAGCGCCACUUCUAUGGUCGUGGAUUCAGGCCAAGCCCGGGAAGCGAAGGUCGAUCAGGAGCUAGGAGGAGGACAGAAGAGGUCAAUCAGCGCUGUUAUCCGUGGAUAGCCUCGCCCUACUUGGAUGUGUUCGCUGGCUAUCCGUGCGUAGCCUCUUACUCCGUGGGAACCCCGGUGUAAACGAAUAGGGAGCGGACGUGCGUGGAAGCGAAGAAGCUUAAUUAGUCCUUGGUUUUAGGAGAAAAGAGAUUCUGAUAAGACUUCGAUUCAUCUUAUCGCUGAGAAGCGGAACAAGAGUUUCUGCAAUCGGAAAAGCUACUUUCUCCCUCGCAGCUCUCCUCGGCGAACCUCUUCCCCGCCUAUGGUAUUAAUUUGGCGGAAGCGAAAGAAGCUGGAAAGUAGAGUUCAAACUCUACUUCCGCUCAUGGAGGAUGACAUGAUGGUCAAUCCUCGGUCUUACCUUCGGACGUGCGCGCAAACCUUGCAUGCUUUCGGGAAAGGGAAGGCCACUAUAGCGAGGUAAAUCUGGAUCAUAAUGGCCGGAUGCAUGGCGCGGGAUGCAGAGGUCGGACCUUUCGGUAAUGAUCGCGGAUUCAGACGAAGCACAUCGACGCAUGGCUGGGAAGCGAAAGAUGAUCGAGCUAGGCGGAAGGCCACCGGACUCCUCCACCAAUGGCUCCAAAUAGGCGGAAGUACGGCUCUCUCUUUCCGAGCGCUAUUACGGGCUGCUUUACGUCCUGUGCUGCGGCGGGCCUCCUGGAAUUUCCCACCAUUUCCUUGAAACAAAGAUUGGUCUGAAUUCCUUCUCAUGUACGAGCAUAAUAAAAGAACAAUUCAAAAGGGUUGCCUCAAUCGCUUCACACCUUUGCAUGCAUGUUGCUAAUUGCCACCAACUACACCAAUUAGCAAAAAAUACUUUUUGAUGGUGAUUCGCAUGAAACGAAGUAACACCACUAUUAUCUCUGCUCUGGUGGUGUGGCCCGGAAGGGUGUUACCACAAGAUAAAAUGCUUAUAUUUUUAAUUGACGUUCUUAUAUUUUUAAUGCCGAUAAAAUGCUUAGCUCGCAUGAUAUAAUAACAAGAGAGACUCAACGUAAAGAGUUCUCCGGAGAUAGGAUACGAUGGGGAAAUUCCGAUAUGGACGGUUGGAAAGGUAAAGAAAGAUCCCAUUUAGCUUCUAUAAUAUUUAUAAAAAUAAGAGUUUAGAAAACAAGAUUAAGGAUUUCUUUUUUAUUUUUAUUCAGAAAGCACGCUUCCUAUCUCGUAUUAUCUUAAAAACUAAUGUUAAUUAUUCCACAUUCUCGCUCACGUUGGCUACCAAAUUUACUCUUUAUUCUCCUUUUCCAAUCAAAUCAUACUCUUUUUAUAAAUUGCCCAAAGAGAUUGAUUUUAAUUUCUUAUAUUUUCUAAUCCAAUUCCAAUAUAGAUUGGACAUUUUGAUUCAACUGCUCGGUUAAUUUCUCUCCUCUCUUUCCUCCAACAUGCCUAGUUGCCGGUUUAUGUUAAAAGAACAAGUAUCUCUCUCCUCCUCUUCCGAAUCAUAUCUCUUUUAUAUAACUUUCAAACCACUUGGACUAUCUUUCUCAAAUAUAACUCCUAAAAGUUUUGGAUUCCGAGAUUCGCAUUAAAUUACUAAUUACCUUUAGGUAGUUUCAAGUCCAAACUUUUUCUCUCCGUACUUACCUUUCGCAGGUAUGAACAAAACAUACAAUGCAAAAACAUGUCCUGCAAUAGAACCAAGAUGUUCUAUGGCUCCUUUCCUCAUGAUUAAUCAUCAAUGAUCAUGUAUCUUUAGCUAUGGGAAAAGCUUGUCUAAUGGCUACAUGCUUACAAACAAAUCAGGCUACAUACUUAGCUUUACCCUUUGGUCUCUAAGUUACAUUGUAUAACUUUGUGGACGAUUCUGAUGUCCACAAGAGACAUCCAUUUAGCCAAAAUGCGUCAUGUACGUUGUAGUCGGACUCUUGAAAAUAUUAGAUAUUAAACAACAAUGCUAUUUGAAGUAGUGUGUUUAGCGCGUUCAAUGUAUAUGUUUUUCUCCUUGGAAAAAGUAUUAGUUGAAGCGAAAUUCUUGGAUGAUUUUUUUCUCGGUUGGAAAAGGAUUAGGGAAGGGGGAGGCGGACGGGGUUCAGCUUCCUAUCUUUCUCGGGUUCCACUUUUAACCGACAAUUUUUGAGAGAAAAAUCUAGCCCACGUAUUUGUUUCUGGUAAACAAGCAACGGAAUUUUAAAAACUAACAUAAACACGCAAACCAAGGAGUUCGGUUGACGCGAAGCCUUAGGGCAUAUAGAUUGAGGCUAAAAUAAAAUAAAGAAGAAAAAGCGCAUGUGGCAUGAGUUUUUUACUUCUUAACCUGGAGAAGGAUAAAAUUUUUGUUAUCCGUGGGGCUGCAAACCGGCCAGGUGUGUGCGGGCAUAUGUUUAGUUCCAUAUCAGUUAUUCACCGAAGAGAUCUUGGGUACUUAUACAUGAUUAAGGAAUCCAAAAAAUAUCUUUCGGCUAGCCUUUUUGAGUGAUGCUUGGGUUGUGACAAAUGGUAUCAGAGUGAACUCGACCCAUAACCUAUGUGGACUAAGAGAUAUUGCAGUAUGAGUUUAUGAAGGUUGACGACGAGCCAUUCAUGGUACUUGUAAUUAAAUUUGAAUGGAUUUGAAAUUUUAGCUUGACGAUGGUGUUAGGGCUUCAACGGGAGGACCAAGAAUAUCAGAGCUUCAACGGGAGGAGUAUGUGAGGAUCGGUACGGGCGUGUAGUAAUUAGUCCCACAUCAGUUAUUGGCCGAAAAAAUCUUGGAUACUUAUACUGUACAGGACUAAGAAACUCAAAUAAUACAUUCCGGCUAGCCAUUUUAGGUAAGGUCCUGAGUUGUUACAAAUGAUAUUAGAGCGAACUUGGCCCAUAGCCUAUGUGGACUAGGGGACAUUGUAGCACGAGUUUAUAAAGGCUGACCAUGGGCCGAUAGUAGUGCUUGAGAUUAGAUUUGAAUGGAUUUGAACCCUUUGCCUGACAAGGACGUUAAAGCUUCAACGAGGAGAGUAUGUGAGGAUCCGUAUGGGUGUGUGUUUAGUCCCACAUCAGUUAUUUGCCGAAGAGAUCUUGGGGACUAAGGAACCAAAAAAUAAUUUUUGGUUAGUCUUUUGAGGUGAGAUUCUGGGUUGUUAUAAAUGAUAUCAAAACAAACUCGACCCAAAGUCUAUGUGGACUAGGAGACACUACAGCACAGGUUCAUGGAGACUGACUCUAGGCCAAUCAUAGUGCUUGUGAUUAGAUUUGAAUGGAUUUGAAUUCUUAGUCUGACAAAAACGUCAGGGCUUGAACGGAAAGAGUAUGUGAGGAUCCGUGCAGGCGUAUAUUUAGUCCCACAUCGGUUAUUCGUCGAGAAUAUCUUGGAUACUUAUACAGGAUUAAGGAAUCCAGAAAAUAUUUUCCGGCUAGCUUUUUUGAGUGAUAUCCUAGGUUGUGACACUUGGUCAGAUCAGGUAUGCUUGAUCCUAAUUUUACCCAGUUUCAUGUAUGCGUCUUAGUAUUGAAUCUAGAUCCAAUCUAAUAACUGAUUGGAUCGGCUUCUUUUAAAAUAUUUUAGACCAAAUGGGUCGUUCAAUCUGGUCCGGAUCAUUUAUAAUCUGGAUCCAACCUAAAAUAAAUGGAUCCGAGUUGGAUCGAGGUUGGGUUUGAUUCGUGUCCAAGAUCUACAUUUAUUUGCUAACAAUAUUUUAUGGAGGAACAUCCGAAUCAAACUAAAUUUUGAUGGCAAUAAAAUUAUUUGGUAACAUUGCCAAAGCUUCAUGAAUUAAUGUUCAUCUUGAACUUCAAUCUAUUUCAAGAGGUUGAUAAUCUCAACAACUAUCUUUAUUUAAUAUAGUGAGAUUAGUUUGAACGUUUUUCUAUUAACACAGAAAAAGAGGAAUGAUUUGGAAUACUUUCUUCGGAUCAAAUUGAGUCGGCUUGAGUUGGGUAACUAAUAGGAAGAUUAGAAAUAGAAUUAUAAAGUGUAUAGAUUGGGUGGGGUUGAAGUUUAUAAAAUCCAGACUUAAUCCAAAAUAUGGAAUGGGUCCAAUAUUUGAACCCAACCCAGACCAUGGGUCUUAAAGAAUGGAUUGGGUUGGAUCUAUCCAGGUCGUAUUGGGUCCGGUCUAAUCAGGUUGGUCGGGUUGGCUCACCAAUCAUUCUGACCUAUUUGUAGCCUUAGCUAUCUCAUCUAUGGGUUUUUUUUAUUCAGAAGACCUAGUGUCAUUUAUUUCAUUUCUUUAUUCACAUCACUAAAUUGUAUUCCUGUAGUUUCUCCUCAUACCUAAGACUUCCCCCAUUAAAAAAUUAGAAGAGAUAAACAUCACAAUUAUCAUGUUUUAUCUCAUGUCUAUAAUGCUACUUUCAUUAAACUAAAUAGCCAACAAGUAUGAAGGAGACAUAAACUAUAGUUAUAUCUUAAAAAUAUAAUUUAUAUUUUCAAAAUAUAAACAAGAUGUAACAACAAAAGUUCUUCAAUGUCCUCAUGCUCAUGGUUUCCUGAAUGCAUUCCAUAGAUAGCGCUUGCAAUUACGAUUGGCCGACUAGACGCUCCUAAUUCUAAUUGUUUUGACUCGGGAAAUUUUUAUACUAAUUUAAAGUUUUGCCAAAAAAAUGAACGAAUGAUGCGAACUCAUCUUAUAAUCAUUGCAUUUGAAACCUAAUCCUCACUGUUUGCCUUUCGUAGUUGUUGGCUCUGCAGGAAAUAAGAAAUCUCCAGUCACCCUUUAUGAGGCCGAGGAAGUUGGUUUUGAAGGUUACUUUACGUAGGUGGGAGACCCCUGGGAUAUACAACUUGCUAAGACGGUCACCAGAGCUUGAGACGCUUGUUCUACAGAUAAAUGCCCCAGAUGCAUGUCGUGGACCCAAGGUGGGCAUUAGAAACCUCUCAACUCUUUUGUUUCAUCUUAUUGACCUUCUUUUGUGCUUCUUCCAAGACUAACUGCAGACGUACUUGCAUUUCAGUUUAUUGGAGAAUUCAAGAGGGUCAGCAAAUUUUUCUUAAGUAUUUAUUCAGAGCCAAAGAGCACCGAACUCUCUUGUUUGAAGCAUCAUCUGAAGAACUUUGAGGUAGAGGACUUCACGGGACUGCUCUCUAAUGAUAGCUUGUCAAGGGCGGGCUACCUCAAGUACCAAGAGAGGGUCCUGGGGCUUGUAAGGUUUAUCCUGAGGAAAGCUUUUGUUUUGGAGAAAUUGACUAUGCGCAUGGCUCAGAUGCCCAACUUCGAAGAAAUCUCGGUGGGUAACCAGAGGCAGUUAGAUACUACUCGGAAGAUUCUGUCUUUCCCGAAAGCCUCCCAUGCUCGGAUAGUGUUUCUUACAAAUGGAAUGUAGACUUAAUUUUUAGUAUGAUUGGUCAUUGAUUGGUGGACGCUGCAUUUUUGAAUUUGAAAGCUGGAUGUAGUCUUAAUCUGCAGUAUUGGUUAUUAAUGGCGGGCUAUGUAAUCUAAAAUUUGUAAGCUGGUAUAUUUGAGUUAUGCAGGAAAUUAUUCCCCUGAAUUCUCAUUCAACAACUCGCUCUUAUGUGGAAACUCAUCAUCUUGUUAUGUCUGAUGAAAGAGAUCAGGAUUUUUUUUUUUUUGGAGCAAUACAGAGCUAAGAAUUAUUGGCAGUAGAUUAGGAUAUUAUUUUCAGUACAUGAUGCUUUCAUUCGGAGGGUAAAAAAUAUGUACAUGAAUUCUUUGAACCUGCAGCUUUGCAUGAAAAAAACUUAAUUCUUGCCCUUGAAAAAAAGGGAGGUGGUGGGAAACCUGAAAGAACGCAUCACCUUUUCUCUGAUGUUAAGGGAGGCAAAACUGCCACCCGGUCUCUAUUAAAAAUCACAUAGCAUGCACAACAGAGGUAAAGAUACAGAGAAGAGUGAGUUUUUUGACAGCUCUACAUGAGGGCUGUUGCAGUGACGUGAAAGUAGAUAGGAGCAGGGCGGAGAGUUUCAGUCAAAGAAAAGGAUAACACACGAACAGAGGCUAAAAAACACAGCAGAAGAAACAGAUCAGCUUCGCUGCAGGAUUUUUGGCAGAGCUGGUUUCAGAAUGAGGAAGAAAAAAGUGAGUCAGAGAGAGGACAAGAAAGCAUUGAAUCUGUAAUUACUUGAAAGGGCUCUAAACACAUUCUCUUGGUAACUAGUUUAUCAUCUCUUCCACUCCAUUUCUUUUGUUUGAAAUCUUAAAAUCAUUGCCUGAUUUAACCUUCUGGUGCCUUUUAAAGCAAGCAUACCUGAAGGAGUUGUUUCUCUUAUUUGCAUGUUAUGAUUUUUCAAGUUACAGCACAUGUAUAGAUUUUCUGAUUUAGCAUUGCUGAAACACAGUUAACCUAUUGUUCAGUAAGAGGCUUAGCUUGGUGCAUUGGGAACUUUCAAACAGCUUUACUGUGGUAUAAAAGGCAGAUUAAUGCAGGGAUUCUUACAGGUGACUGCCUCAACCUUGUUUGGUUAUUAAGAAAGCGACGAUGCAUGAUUGCAAAAGUUUUUCAUUGGUAAUUUACCUGAUAAAUUUUGUGUUAUCAAAUGCUCUUCUUUUUUCUUGUUGGAUGAGGAAAAUUUAUGGAGUUAGCAAAAGAAAAUGUGGCCAAAUGCAGGUCCUGUUUCAUUACAAAUAUAUUCACAUUUCAGAUUUUUAGAAGUCAUGUAGUUCUACAAUUAUAUGCUUGGCUUUAACAGAUUCGCUGCUGAUCAUUUCAUUGAAGCCAUUCAGUCCUUCCAUUCCCUCUGCCUGUCUGUUGGUAUAAAGAAUUAUGACAUGGCAUUCUUUGAUUCGACAGAUUUGUUGGAUAGCAAGGCAGAUUCACACCCUUUCCAGAAAGGGUCUGACAAUGGUUUCCCACCACUUGUUUGCUCCUAGAAACCCUCCCAUCCUUGGAGGGCAUAUAAUUUUCUUUUGAGAUUAUGGUGACUAUUUUUCACCACUCGGUUUUGAACAUAAGACCUCUUACUUGAAGAGAUGGGAGGCAAACUAGCUAAUCUACGAACUACUAAUGAGAGCAUAUAUAUAUAUAUAUAUAUAGUAGACCAAUGCUGUGAGUACUUGGAAACUCAUCAGCUACAAACUUUAACGAAAUAUGAACUAUGCAGAGCCAAUAACUGUUUCAGCAAAUGAAAUCAUGCUACAUCCUUCAGUUUUAAUAUGUAACACGAAGAACAAGAAAGCAAAAGAUUCUACAGAGCAAAUCUUCAAAAUUCUCUGCAUUGGACCUAAUUUGCCUGCUGAACAUAGAUAUAGAUAGUCAAAAACAAAUUUUGAUGCAGAAUAGAAAAUCUAAUAAGACCUAUUAGGAAUUUGGAACAUCUAUAAUAGCAGAUACUUGGAGGAAGAUGAGCAACAUGUAAUGGAGUGAUGAGCCUAAUAAUAUAGACCAUCUCUCAUUAGAUGCAAAUUACAGAUUUUUUUUAUAAAGUCAAUCUGCUAGAAAACCGAAAGACAACUAAAUUAAAGGACAAUAUAGAUCAAUCAGGCAGGCAGAGCAAGCAAUAGAACUAAACUGUACAUGAUACAUUCGAAUAAAAACCCCCCUCUCAACAGCAUUAGUUGUAACCCUGGCAUGAAUGAAAUGUUUGGUAAAGCAGCAUAACAAAUAAAUGGCCUGAAAAACAUGUAUUUUAAAACUCCAAGUCCAACUCAAACAGGUAUAAAUAACAGAAAUUGUAUUAAAAAUUCUUUUGAUGUUAUUCCACAGAAGAAAAAUCUUACUGUAUUUCCGUACACAUCAGAAGAUGAUCAAAAUAUGAAAGUGUGAAAAGAUCAACAAGAAAUAUCUUCUCAGGAAUUUGAAUUGCAAGUUCCAAGAUCACUAUGGAAUUUCUAUAUCAUUGAUCAACGCAAAAGACAGAUCAAAAGGAAUGUAAAACCUCCUAAAUCACCAAAAGAUUAUCUGAAAGUGACUAGAUACUCAUCCAACUGAGGUCCCUGCAAAAAAGUCCACUUACUUAAAAAAUUCCAGAGUUCUUUGUCUACAAGAAUUCAAACAACCAUGUAAAGAAAAAAACAUUCAAUCAGAAUAAUCAAGAAUAUUACAAAAUCACUGAUUUUUAACUCUACUAAUCGAGGCUACCCUAGAAAGAAAGAUCAACCACCUUGCUAGCCACUUCUAAUGAAUUAUGUCUUAGCUUCCAUCUAUCCAUGUUAGAAAUCCCUUCAUGAAAACUAAACAUGCCAUGCAAUAACAAACUGGAAAAAAUGAUUCCUAUGAGACAAGGAAAUUAAUUCUGUGGAUUUGUCUCAGCUGCAUCUCGGAAAGCCCUAUAAGAAAUGACCAAACAAGUCCCAUAGGUUGUUUUGCUAAACAGAAAGCAAUUAUACUGAUGCUUCUCACUAAUUAAAGGGAAAUAAAAGAGCAGAUUCUACAAGAUCAACAACUUUAUCUCGAUUCAUCCUGCAACAAACAUUUUAACCACAUGGAACCUAUUUAAAUUCCUCUAAAUUUUAGAGGAAGCAUGGCUAUAACAAAUUUCGAAAUUAAAGUAGAAACCAUCCAUAGCCACACACACCCCCAAAAAAAAUCAUAAAAGAACUCCCAUCAGCAACUAAUAUUCUGAUGGAAGUACCCAGCUGAAAGGUUAUUUCUUCACUGCUUUUUUUAUUAGACAAAAAAUUGGUAAAAGUCAUUAAUAUUUGGAACCAUAAACUCCUUGGAAAACCUGAAAUGCCGAUGAGUCAAAUUCAAAUGAACAUUGUAUAAUCUCAUUACCAAGAAUAGGUAUGCAGCAACCAAAAUGUUCCAGAAACUACAAGCUCCUAAAAUGAAUGAUCAAAUCCUUGUCCAGAAAUUAGGCAAAAAAACCAUACCAUCAAUAGUUCUAACAAAACAGAUUUUGUUUUUAAAAGCAGGGCCACAGGGAUUCUUCGCCGUUAUAUCUUGAAGAUAGAAACUCACUGGAACCUUUGUCAUAUCUAAUGAAACAUGCAUAGGCAUUAAGAAAAAGGCACCAAUACUAUACAAAGGACUAUGGUAAUAUACACCGGAACAUGUAUACAAGAAGCUACUUGAAGAGAUUGGCAUCGCAAAGGAAUCCCCAUGAGAGAUCAAAUUUAACUAACUCAAAACCAGUUACCAUAGAAAACCUGCAUAUACAUGUAUUCAACUAACAAGUGAAAGAACUUAUAGAUUAGGAGACUUCUUGGUCACAAGCGACCAACAUUACCAAAUUUAUAUGCAUACAUAUGCGCAUACAUACACAAAAUGCAUGUGUAUAACCCAAGCAUUUUGCACUAUCAAACACAAAAAAAUCAACACGUCUAUUUUUAAAAUAACAUGAUACAACACAAAAUCAACAUAUCAUGAAGUACCACACUUCCAUGUAUGCAAAAGAAAUACUAUCAUAUCCAAAUAUCAUCCACCAUAACCUUCUAGCAACCAUGAACACACAUGCAGAAACCCCAGAUUCAUCAUGAACUCAUAGGAAGAGACAUCGCCAAAAGACUAAACAGAUUGGUCAUUAGAAGAGAGAAGAUGAAAUAUAGAUUCAAAGUGAUAUUAAAGAAAUAAGCUUGAAGAUUAAAUUCUGCCUAUCCAUCCUAGAAGUCUCUCCACGAAAAUUCCAAUGUAUGUAAUCUGAGGGAACUGUCAACAAUUAGAGCCAGAUGAUUAUUAGUCUAUUCACUUUAGAAAUCACUACAAUUUUAGAUGAAAUAAAAUAAAUGGAAAAAAAAUGUCUCUUACAAGAAAAGAAAAUCAAUCGCUUUUAAGUCUCGGGUAAAUCUCAGAAAAUGCAAUAGUACUACAAACAAGAGCUACCAAACAGAUUCUUACAAGCUGCAAUAUAUAACCUUGUUUCUCUCUAGUCAUCUCAAGUUACCUACGAUAAAAUGCUGAAUGCCAAGUCAAAUUAAUGGAACCAGAUGAUUUUACAAACUUGAUUACUUCACUAUCUUUAUUCAUUAACUAGCAACAUGUUAACAGCAUGAAAACUAUUAAUGUUUAGCUGACUCAUAAUAAUAAGAGAGCAACAAAUUAAAGAUAAAUGGAACCCAAAAGCACAGAAAAUGUCAUGGAGAAGCCCCAUGCACCAACCUUCAAAAGAAAGCAUCCUCCUGGCUGAUUUUCGCUGCUUUUUCAAAUCAGGCAUUGGAGCAACCAUCAUCACAAAUCUGGAAACAUAGAAGAGGCAAAACAACUAAGACCUCAGAGAAUCUGAAAUGUAGUACCAAACUUGGGUUAGGAAAAAUAUGAGUAAAAUCAUGAGUCAGAUCCCAAGCCAUGUCUACAGGAACUCCUGUACCCAAGAAAGUCAGAAAGCCAGCUUAAAAAAAAAAGCUUUCAGAACCACAAACUUUGAUUCUGAACCAUAAAAAACUAUUAGAAAAACAAAGAAAAAACCAUCUAACUAGUUUGGACAUGGUGGCAGAACAGCCCCUCCAUUGCUGCUGCCUGAUACCUUAGGUUUCCCUCUAAUUAAUGCUCAUCAGGCAUCAGCAUCUCACUUCAAUCUUCAGUGCACUGAUGCAGCCUGCCCCUCUGGCGGCCUCUUUCUUUUCACCCUCUCCACUGGCUUCCCUCACCCACUGAGGUUUUCAAAGGGAAUGCUGGAGGUCCUUGUUCGUGAGGGCAUCAUUUGUAAGUUGACUGCUGGUGUUGUUGUUGGUUUAGGGUUCAAGGGGUUCUAUUGCAUGUGCUUAUGCAUGCAUGUACUCCUUUUAUCUGUCACUGUGUACGCCGCUGUAUUCUUUACAUAACAUCUGUGCUCAUGGUUGCCCAGACGUUGCAUGGGACGUCAACGUCUGCUUGUAGCUGCUUUAUAAUGUCAUUAAUAUCAUAAAUAAAUUACUUACCAAAAAGUACACCUGUCCAACUUCCACCUUCAGAUAUCACCAAAACCAUACCAUGAACAAUUUCCAUCCACUUAAAUCACAGAAAUUGGCAGAGUUUCUUGCAUGAUGAUAUUUUUUAAAAAUUCACUGGAAAUCACAAGUUAUCAUAUCUGUGAAGAUACAUGAAUAGAAAUUAGGAAAAGACAUCAAAACUACAUGAAACAUUUUGACAACAUCCAUAGAAACAAGUGUACCAGAAGCUACCUGGAGUAAAGUGUAUAGUUUUUCAGAAAAACAGAUUAAUCAAGAGAACACCCAUGAAAGCACAAACUCAAUAAUGCAAUGUGAAGAGCCAGAACAGAAGAAUUCUGCAUAUAUUUGUUCUAAUACAGACAAAAGUUCACUGCAAGAACAAACUUGGUAAUUGCAAAACUACACUUUCAUCAACAAUCCAAGUNNNNNNNNNNNNNNNNNNNNNNNNNNNNNNNNNNNNNNNNNNNNNNNNNNNNNNNNNNNNNNNNNNNNNNNNNNNNNNNNNNNNNNNNNNNNNNNNNNNNNNNNNGUGGAGGAGGACCAAACAAGUCAACACUAACUUACAAGCCAACAAAUUUUAGCAGAAGAUUACAACCCCCAUGCUUUAAAGAUAAAUAAAUAAAAAAAGAAAUUGUCUCAUGGAUGAAGGUAGGGUGAUGGUUAUCCUUUAGAGCUACCAUUCAUCUAACUUCAAAAAAAAAACAGUCUACAAAGUACAAACAGUGAAGGAAGCAAAAAGGUAUCAUUACAAUCCAUAAUCUCUGCAUAGAGACUAACUACAUACGAAGAUUUUCAAACUUAUUCGCCAUCCAAAAGAACACCUGAAAUCAUGGACUCAAUAUGCUACAACACCCAAACUGCCUGCAAAGCAAAAGAUGACCACCAUCUACAAUCUCCAGAGAUCAUAAAGCAUAUGUAGAAACCCUGGAUCCAUCUUGAACUGAAAUAGGCAAAGAGAAGCCCUGCUAAAAGAUUCUCCCAUUAGAUCAGCUACUAGAGAAGGCAAUCAAAAUUCAUGCGGUGGUGAAAGCAUAAACUGGAAACCCCCUUUUAAGAACAUCAGAUGUGCAGCGAAAGAGCAUUUCUAAGUUACCAAACAUAAACAAACGAUAAAAAUGAUAGGAAAAAUAACUUUGAUCAUCCGAAAAAUAUCUGCAACAGACCAUAUAAACAAAUAGUGGCUAACUCUUCCAAUCAGAAACCAAAAACAUCAUAUAGAACAUAUUUUCAAAAUUAAAAAAAAUCCUGCAAUAUGUAGCAAAAAAAACUAUUCUAUUGAGAUGAACAAGAUGACCGAUAGUCUCUAUACAUUCUCUGCAAGAGGAGAUCAAAUUUGAUGCGCCAAUUCAAACAAAAGGUAGAAAUUUCUUACGAGAUUGAAUUGUAAUUUUCUUCUUUGUUUGCCAUCUUAGAAAUCCCUAAAAAGAAGUUCAAAAUACGAAAUGGAUAAUAACCAACUCCAACAAAAUUAGCAAGAUGAUUCUUUCAAGACCAUAGCAUCAGUUCUCUUUGUCCAUCUCAGAAGUCAGGGGGGAAAUCAAGAACAACAUUCCAUAGUCAGCUAAUUCAUAUAAAAUGAACUAGAUGAUUGUUACAAGGGCAUAGAUUCACUUUUAAAGUGUACAAAUUAUUACAAACCUGAUACAACGUCCCUGGUUGUCAAGGGAAAAGAUCAUUACAACCAUACUAUAAUACCUAGACCAUAAACAGCUUAGCAGAAAAUCCAUGGUCAUCAAGCAUGGAAAUAAGCAAAACUUUGUCUAUUAAACCAUUGAUAUAACUGGGCAAUUGUUACGUACUCCAACCUGCUAUUCCCUCACGUGGAAGCCACCUAGUAAGCACCUGUUGAAGGAGUCCAAAUGCAGUUCCUAUUCUUUAGCAAGUUACCUAGUUUACUGCGAUUCCCUUGAUUUCCUCUGUUUUAGUUAUUGCACGUUGUACUUUCCAUUGUUGUAUUGGCUAUAAAUACAGCAUAGGAAACCCAAUAGAGAGGGAUGAAAUUAAUUCAAGUUCUCCUCUCUCUUCUCUUUUCUCUGACUCAUUCUUUCUCCCUCCCCAAAUUCAAACAUAUCAUUUUGGUAUCAGAGCCAGGUUUUUUUUGCCAUGGAUACCCGUGGGAAGACGAACUCUGAAUUCCGUAAUGAAGUGAAUGAAGCCUUAGCACGUCAUGAGUCGAACUUCGAUCAGGUGAAUACAACUCUGCAGACAGUCUUGCAGAAAUACAAGCCCUUUUUUUCUCCACCAGAAGCCCCCACACUUGUCCACCAGAAGUUAAUCCCCUUGCUCAGGAAGGAUCCUCGCACCAUCCACACGCCACAUCGUUUGCUGCUAGCUACCACCAUUCACCACCAUCUUCACUCAAGCUGCAGUUUCCGAAGUUCAAUGGAGAAGAUCCAAUGGGGUGGAUCUACAAGGCCGAGUAGCACUUCGAAUACCAAGGCAUUGGAGUUGAUCAGCGGGUGCAACACGCCUCUUUUCACUUGGAGGGCAUUGCACUACAGUGGCAUCGUUGGCAUACAAAAUUUCGGGGACCUCUUACCUGGGAAGAACUCACCAAGGCAGUCUUGCUACGCUUUGGUCCUACCGAAUUCGAAGACCCCUCGGAAGCUGUCCCGUUUGAAGCAAACUACAACACUUGCUGCUUAUCAAGAGGCCUUUGAAAGGCUCUCUCAUCGGGUAGAUAAAUUGCCAGAAAUUUUUCUGAUUGGGUGUCUCAUUGCAGGCUUAAGGGAUGACAUCCGCUUGGAUGUCAAGAUCACGCAACCCCAAACCUUGGCAAACAUCAUUGGAGUUGCCCGAUUGGUGGAGGAGCGAAACCAGCUCCAACGAUGGCCUACCCCCAUCAACGGAAUGCAAUCAGGGGCCUCACCGCCGAGAGGAAACCCAACCCAUCCGCGGGAAUUCUGGGACUAACACCCAGCCAACGCUCAGGAAUGGGAUCCAACGCACCACCCUCACCUUUCCGCCGAAUCACCAACCAGGAGGCGCGGGAACGCCGAGAGAAAGGUUUAUGCUAUUACUGUGAUGAAAAAUACUCCCUGGGCCAUCGGUGUGAACGUCCCCAAUUAUUCAUGAUUGAAGAUGCACCACACCUGGAGGAAGAAAAUGGAGAGGAGCCACCUCAGGAAGCAGAAACUCGGGAACUACUACCUGAAAUUUCUUUUCAUGCAAUUGCUGGCGCUGAACAUCCCCAAACCCUCCGAGUUGUGGGAAGGUUGAAGAACAAAAGCUUAAUGGUGCUGAUCGACGGGGGUAGUACCCACAAUUUCAUCGAUCAACAUAUGGCUUCUCGAUUCGGCCUGCCGAUUGUCCGGGAUAAGAAGCUACAAGUGGUGGUUGCAAAUAGGGAAAGGAUCGAAUGCACAGACCAAUGUCAAGGGCUCACGCUCAAUAUCCAAGGUAUACCUAUCGCUGCUAACUACUACGUUCUUCCUGUGGCAGCUUGUCAAGCAGUUUUGGGCGUACAAUGGCUGGAGACACUCGGACCCAUCGAAAUGGAUUACAAGCACCUCACUAUGUCCUUCCGUGUUAGGGGAACCA
rnacentral:lncRNA from 1 species